UACCUUUCUCGGCCUUUUGGCUAAGAUCAAGUGUAGUAUCUGUUCUUAUCAGUUUAAUAUCUGAUAUGUGGACUAUUAGUUCACAUGAUAUUAAAUUAAUUUUUUGAGGGAGAGGGCCGUUAAAGUAGCUUGCUACUUGGUUCCUCAAGCAUCGCCUUUGUGUUGCACUAUUACAAAGGCCUGGUGUAUCCCACUCAUAACAGUUCAAGUUUCUGUCUUUCUAGAUUAUGAUUUCUUUAAAAUUUUUGGCCCAUUCUUUUUUCACAAAUUUAAAAUUUUUUGUCUGUUUACGAAACUAAUUAGUAUUAGUAACAAAAAAUUGUGUUAUUUUAUAACUAAGAAGGAACACUUGUUAUAACUAAGAUACUUAAAAUAAUCAUUGUUUAGUUAGAUUGGCAAUAAUAAUAAUUUAUAAGAAAAGAUUAAUUUUAUUGAAACAAUAAUUAUAUAAUAAUAGCAUUUCCCAAGUAUUCUCAAAGUAUUCCUCAAAUAGUAAAAAUAAAUCUAUCAUAAAAUGUUGCACCAUUCAUGUUUUCUUAAGUAAAAUAGUUGAACUAUGCACCAAAUCAAUAUAUCUUUCUUCUCUUCACAUAUUUGAUUUCAAAAGUAAUGUUAACCAUUUUUCUUUGGAUAUCAUUUACUUAUUGUAGUUUUCUUUUACUCAAACUAUAUAAUAAUCUUGCUUAUUACAUAAUUUUUAAAGUAAUAAAAUCAAAUGCUGUCACACUCAACCAAAUAGUAUAUAUUUAUAUAUUAUGUUACAAUCACAAUAUUACCGUUCUCCUCAAAAGCUUUCAAUAUCAUAUUUUUAAGAUUUUGCAAAGAUUAGAAAAGAAAUUAUAUUAUCAAAAGGCAAAGUAGCGAAAAAUUGUGAAGUUAUAAAUUUACUGCAAAAUUUAUUAUUACGUCAGUUUAUAGUAAAUUCAUGAUUUUGUGCCAGUGCCUAUUAUAUUAAAAAUAUUUAUUUUUAUUAAGGGGUACUAUAAUAAGUUUUAUGGAUUUAAAAUAAAGUUAAAAACAUUUCAUUAUAAUAACUGGUAUAUUAGAUAAUUAGUUAUAAUCAUUAAAAGAUUAAUAAUAGUUGAUUUAAAAAGAAUGUUAAAAUUUACAAUUUCAAUCUCUUGCACAUUAUGAUUUUUGUGUCAACGUGUAUCACUACCCAUUGUUUUCCUUAGAGCUGAUGUUUGCAAGAAAACAAUAUAUUGACUAUAAUACUUAUUUAGGCGAAUGAGAAUAAAAAAACAAAGAUUUAGAAAAGCUGAAGCGUAACAACGCAUCAAAUAUUAAUAUAGAUGCAUUGAGUUUGAGAAACUUAGAACUAGGGAAGUAGUAAAUUAUUCUGUGAAAGAAAGUGCGAGAAUCUUUGAAGGUUUCAGGUUGUUCAGCUGAGAAUAUAAUUAUUAUCCAUGAAACAAUUGGCUUACAGGAUCAGCAGUCUGUGCAUUCUCCAAUUGCUCCCUUCUGAAAAAGUUCUAAAACUAUUUGAGCUGCAAGUAAACAAAAACAAUAGUGUUGGAAACGGACCAAAGUGACUCACGAGUAAAUAUGUUAUCAGUGGUAUGUUCGAUUAAGGUGUUCUGAGCCCAACCCCAUGCUCCUUUUAUUGAAUCAUAACAGGGCUCGUAGAAGCAAUAGUUAUCAGCAAGCUCUCUCCGCACAAUCAACUCCUCCAAGAAGGCAUCAAGUUCCUUUAGAUCACAAGUUAAGAACAGGAAGUUAUACUAAACAUAGGUAUAAGAUGUUUGUCUAUUAAAACCAUUUUGGGGAAGAAAAAACCAUCGAUAAACAGAAACAGAAAGAAUUCAGUGCAGGGCAAGUAGACAAACUUGAGGAUGUGAAUUUCGCCGCUUACGUGCUUCAAAAGCACAUCGCUGAGAAGAUAUCUGUCCAAAAUGCAAAUAGGGAGAUAAACCAGAGAGUGCAUUGGGGUUGCACAGGUUGUUGCGAUCUAGGGAGUAACCUUUUAAUCCAGAAUCCAUUUUCACUUCCCAAUUGAAUCUAAGGUGUAACACUUCCCUUGCCGCAAUUCCCCCCUGCUCACAUCAAUCAACUUCAGGAACCUCAGCUCCUCUGCUAGUAAUUUGACAGAAACAAUCAUCAAACCAGGGUCAUUAUAUCCCCAUGAUUUGCUUAACAACACACAACACUAACCGUAACACAUCAGCAAUGAGACCAUCCCAGUCAAUGGAAUGGUUCUCGGAAAGUACCCACUUCCUAGUUGGCAGAUCAACUUCGAAGUCAGGGAAAUCUACGAGAUACUCAGAAAUCCUUGUUUAUCUUUGUCCUGAUUGUCUUAGCACUGUACUCCAAUUUAUCAGAGGCAACCCAAAGUGGCACAACGUUGUGAGCGUCCACUUCAUGCACCGUAACCGAAUCACUUACCCUCUUGCAAGUCUCUUCUUUACACCUUCGUACAUCCCGCAAUGGUGAGAAAUCCGUUACCAAAAGUGAAGCUCCCCAUUCUCUUUGGCACGGUCUCCUCCGCCUCUCCCUACAAUAGAGUUUGAAAGUAGAAACAACAUCUUGGAAGAGUUAAGAAGACCUUGUUUAGUUAAAGCUCUCUUACAAGGGGUAAAAUUAAUUACUUCGUGUACAAAUUAAUAUUAGCUUUUGAAGAAAUUAAUCAAAAAUGUUUCCAUAAAUUAGCUUCAACAGAGGAGACCUCCACUGAUUGUGUUGAUAAAUGUGAAAUUAUUUUAGUAUAAACAGUGAUCUUGAGUUCGAGUCUUCAUAUGCAAUAACUCGGAGGAAAUGUUUUGUCCUCUACCAAACUCGUGCAUGAUUCUUUCGAAUGGAAUGUACCUAAACAACUUCUGCAAACGGAAAAGUGAUACAUAAACUAAUUCUAACUUAAGUUUCAUUUGAGAGUUAAAGAGUUGAUGGAGACCUAAAUAUUCUUUAAAAAAACUAUCCAAACAAAAGCGAAACUCGAAUAACUGUGCAAGUUACCUGGAACAAGAAAAAUGGAAUUUGAAGAGUAUGUUGCAUACGGUGGCACAACUGACGCAAGUUCCUGAGCAUGAACCCUAGAUGACGGGAUUUGGCGCCGAGAAAUCUGUGGAAGAGAUUGAAAACAACGGCAACGGGAACGUUGACUUUGUUGGUCUCUUCAACGGCGUGGAUCAGAGCCCAGUUGUCUCUCACCCGUUGAUCUCUGAACAUUCAGUACACAACUGGACCCGAACCCGCUUCUCCGCAUGAACCGUCUUUCAGGGUCCGAAUCCGACCUGCCUGAACCGUCAUCGGCGACGCUAAUUUAGAAGGCCUCGUGUUCUUCCCUGCGCCUCACUCCACCAGUCUUGGAGGGAAAUUCAACAGGUCACUCCACCUCGAACCUUCUUUUCUCACCUCUAUAAAUUUUUGAAUUUCCAAAAAUGUCCCUUUAUAAUAUUUUGGAUUUCGUAAUAAAAAAUUAAUUUUUAAAUUGUUAAUUAGUUUUUGGAUUACAUAAUUCGAAAGUAUUUUUUCGAGUCUUAUUUUGCUUUCAAAUUAUGUAAUCCAAAAAAUGAAUUUUUGGAUUAAAAUGAAUUUCCGGAUUACAUAAUCCAGAAACUACUCUAUGGGGUGACACAAUAAGAAUAAAAAUGUAUUUUCAUGUUGGGUAUAAAGGUGACAAAAGAAGAUAUGGAGGUCCAGGAAGAAACACUCAUUCAACAAUUCUAUGUGUGGUUUCAAACCCACCUACGUGGUUCCACUCUCUUUGGCACGUGUUCAAUGCUAUUCACUAUUAGACAACUUCUUCCUGCACCUCUACAAAUUUCUCCCUGCACCUCCACACUUGUGGAAAAGACUAUAUUGUACCCCUUUAAAAAAUGAUUUUCAGAUUGUUCUUUCUAAAAUAUUUCUAGAACGUCUUUUCCAGAAUAUGUUUUAUGAAUUUCGGAUUUAUAAAUCUGGAAAUUAAAAAAAAUGUGUUAAAAAAAUAAUUAUUUGUCUUCCAGAUUUUUUAUUCCGAAAAUAUCUUUUGCUAACGGAACUAUUAUUUUGAAAACAUCUAAAACUGUAAAGAGUAAUUUCGGUCUUUUCGAAAAAUGUAGGGGUGCAGGAAGAAAAGUGUAGAGGUACAGGAAGAAACACUUACUAUUAUUCUAUUUGUGAUUGCACUUAGGCCCAAAUCAAAGAUGGAUCUUACCAACCUAUUCGAAAAUGGGAGUUUCUUCCUGCACUCUUACGUUUUUCUUUCUGCACCCACACUUUUUAAAAUUCUAAAACUAGUCUUGAUCUUUUAUUUAAAAAAGGGCACUUGCAUUUUUUAAAUUACGGAUUUGUGAAUCUAGAAUGUAUUUUUUACAUUAUGAAUUCUGAAAUAUGGAAAUAUACUAUGGAUCUGCAAAUCUGAAAGAUUACUAGACUUAUCAAUUUGGAAGAUUUACGAUGCACCAACUUGAGAGUUUUGCGGAUUUAAUAUUUUGGAAGACAAAAAACAAAGUGUGGAUUCUCUAUUCCGUAAACCUAGCGAACUACACUGUCUCAAAACAUAUAUAUUGUGUAAACAAAAAUCCAUAAUAAAAUGGAACUAAAGAUCCAUAAACCAAAAUGUUUUUACUUACCUUCUUCUCUGAACAGAGAACCACCAAGAGAAACGUAUGCCAAGAUAUGGAGUAGCACGCUGUUGAGAGAGCAAUACAGUAUGUCUGUGUGCAAAGGAAGAAAAAAGAGUAGAGUGUGGGUGUUAGGUGCAUUUUAAGAUUUUUAAAAAAUAUUAGGGAUAAGUUUAUCUUUGCAAAACAUUAUGGGAGUGCAGGAAGAAAAAAAUAGGGGUGCAGGAGGAAACUGCCUACAAAAUUAGGCCAGGUCAAUCUUCAAGGCCAAGCCCAAAAAAUUGAUUGCAUUGUUCUGACCGAGAAAAAAAACUUCUAUUCAAUUAAGCUAGAUAUGUAUAUAUAUAUUUUUAAUUUAAGUAAUUUUUUUAGUUUAAAACCAAAAUCAACUCUAGUGCAAAUAUCCCUCAUUCCAGCAUAAAAAAAAGUAGUAAUAAAUAUGUCAUGUUAGCCAUAUAAAAAGUUGUCAUACGCAAAUAAUACUUUAAAAUGAAAAAUUAAAUGUCAAAAAAUAUAAUGGGUUAUUUUUUUUUUCAUUUGAAAACAGACUAAUAAGAGAUAAACACUUAAACAUUUGUUUAUGAAAUAAUCCCUUUAAAUGUUAUUAAAUUUGGUGAAAAUAAGAAAGAAUGUAGGUGAAUGAAUGAUGAGUAAUUGAGAUAUGUGAGUGGGUUCCCAUCCUGAAGCAGAGGUCAGAAGUGUGUUCUUGUUUUUGAGGUGAAGAAUUAAUGUCUGAUGUGGUAUUGGUAUUAGAAGUGGAGAACAUUGAAAUAAAAUGAUUGGUUAAGUAAAUCCCACAAGAAUUAACAGUGGACAAGAGAUGAAAAAAAUGGGUGACAUGAUUAGGCCUUGGAACAGAAGAAGAUUCUUGUAUAAAGAGAGUUUGUCUUCCUACAUUAAUCAUUCUAUUUCUAUUUCUAUUUCUUUUUCUUUUUCUUUUUCUUUUGCAUAAGCAUAUAGAUAGAGACAGAUAUGAGCUUUUGGUUGGUGAGUGAGCAAUUAGCAAUCAUCUCUGUCUCUCACUUAUAUCUCUAAUUACAACACCCACCAACUCUCAUCAUUCUUCCCUCUCUUUUCAAUAAUUUUUAUCAUCUCUCUCCCUAAUCACAUCAAUAAAUAAUUACAUAUAUAUAUAUAUAUUUUUUUUUAUUAAGCCAUUUAAAAUACUUUUUUAUAAACGGUUAAGAGAGAUGUUUUUAUCGGUUCGAGGUUGAUCUUUUAAGUUUUAGUGAUUCUAAAGAUGAGAGACUUCUCCUACCAUAACACUUUGACACUCAAGUCAGCAAGAAUAUAAAAUAUAAUAAGUAUAAAAUAAAAUAUAAGUAGAGUUGAUAUAUAUAGACUGAAUUAUAACCUCUCUACCUUUAAUCAUAAUUCUAUUUUAAUUUAAUAUUUAAGAUUAAUUAAUUAAGAUCUUUCAUUAGAUACAUAAAUUGAAAAAUGACAUAAACCGGAAGAAAAUACAUAGACAUAAAAGCAAAAACAGGAUUUCUAAAACUUUACUAUCAAUAUACCAUGGCUCUACUUUAUACUGUUCCAUAAACAGUAAAAACUGUCGGAUAUAAACUGAUUACUGAAGAUGGCUCAUAUGAAAAAAAAGAGUUAAAACAUGUUUAUUACAAUAUCAUUGACUGAUAUUCUAAAUAUAAGAUGGGAUUUUAAAUCAUCUUACAAAAUAAAUAUGUAUAACAUAAGAAUAGAUUAUUGUAAAAGAACUCUAAAUGUUCAAAAAUAAUAUUUGUUUAUACUAACACAACGGGAUCCUUAAAAAAUAGUGUAAAAAUUCGUUUUGAAAUCUACAAUAAAAAUGCUCUUCUAUUUUAAAAGGAAAUUAGAAAAAAUAGAUAUAUAGAAUGAGAUAAUUAUCUUUAUUAAUUACUGUGCAUCUACUUUUUUUAGGAUAAUAGUUAAUAAUAUAUAUAUAUAUAUAUAUAAUUAUUUAAAAUUAAAUAUUAUAAUAACUAUUAAAAUAAAAAGUAUUAUGAAAAAAAUUCUAAAGUACAUAUUUUUUAUAAUUCUAAAGUAUUAUAUUUUUCCAUUUCUUUCUUUCAAUACUUGAAAAAGUUGUUACUUAUUUAAUUUCAAUAUAAUUGAUUUUUUUUACCUUUCUAAUUAAUUGAAAUGUGUUUUAUAGAUAAUUUUAAAACCAAAUUCUUACUAUAUUCAAUUAUGUUACCAUACAUAUAUAAUCAUUAUACAAGUAUAUAAACAAUCAGUAUAUUCUAAUAAAACAUUUAUUUAAUUAUAAAAGAGAAUUAGAAAGUUUCCAUAUCUUGUUUGAGUGGAAAGGGUUUGAGGACUAAAGUACACACAAAAAAAGAGAGGUGCAGGGUUCCCAUAACCAUCAUCAAUGGCAGCAUAAUUGCCACAUGUGAGCUAAUAAGCACACUAUCAAUUGGGCAUUUUUUAAACUGAAAAGAUAAAAAAAAAAUAAUUGUAAAUGGUUAGUUGGUUGAAUCUCUUGACAUUCAAUUCUCAUAAACAAAGUAAGGUAUCCAAAAGGUAAAUAACUCAUUACCAAAAUUAAAUUAUUUAAAUCCACAGCAGAAUUUAAAAGAAGAUGAUACAUUAUGGUGAAAAUAAAUGGUACUUUCUUGCUUAGGUAGUUACUAUUGUGCAAAAAAGCAAAUGCAUUUGUUUGGAUUUUAAUAUCUAAUUGCAUAAACUACAUAUACUGGAGAAUAAAAUAUGUUUUUUAAAUAAAAAAUAAUUUUAAGUAAGAAAUAAAAUUAGAUAUUUAAUUAUUUAGGAGAGUAUUGUUAAAAGAAAUAUGAUUAAAUGUAUCUUAAUUAGAUAACUUAGAUUGAAUGUUCAAUUUCGUAUAAUUCUUUGUAAGUUAGUUUAAAGUCAAAACCUUCAUAUCCUAUUGUAAGACUACAAAGUCUCAAGAGACUAUAAUCUAAAUUAUACUUGUGGACUAUAAAACUUGAAAAAAUUAUUGUACAAAGAAUAUUUAUAAGUUUGAACUUUCCGGUGCUUAACGAAUCAAGUUUACUCGUUUUGAAGAAUUUUGAAUUAUAGCUAAAAAAAAAAACACACCAAGCGAAUCCCUCAUUUACAAUAGUUGGUUUUAAAUUUUGAAAAUAAGAAAGAAAUAGAGGAGUUUUGUGGAAGGUUGAGAAGCUCUCGAGAUCUUUGGGAAUAUCUUCAUAAUGUUUGCUGAUAGCUCUAAUGCUUGCUGACCAUUCUAUAGUUGUUGAUUGUAAAAAUUCUUAAUCUUAAUGUAGUAGUGUUAAUUUGGUCAUCAAGAAAUUGGUUAAGGAUAUUACCAAUUUAAUCUUAAAAUUUUCAUAAUUAAGGAAAUAACUUGAAAUGAAAAUUCAAUAGUAAUAAUGAUGAAAUAAUAAUUGUAGUUGUUAUUUAAUAUUAUAUUAGUUUGAUUUUUUUAUUUUCUUGAAAAUAAUAAUUUUUUUAAUAAAUAUAUAAUUUAUUUUGAAGUUUCAAUUACAUAUUUAUCAAAUUCAAUAUUUAUCAAAUUCAUAUAAGAGAAUAUUAGGAGGUGGACUUUGAGAAUAACAAACUUUCCAUAGAUUCUUCUAUUACUAUAUUAAGAUUAAAUUUGAUUCAAACUUAUAAGAUCCACUCCCACUCAUUUGUAUUAUCUAUAUAUUAUAAAAUGUUUUUAUCUUAGUCAAAAAUAGUUCUCAACAAAUAACCUUAUCUAUUUUUGUUAUAUACUAGAAUGAGUAUAAAAAUAAUUGUAUAAUAUUUUUUCUUUCAUUUAUCGAAAAUUAUUAUUUUUUUGAAGAAAAGAAAAAUAAUUCAAGGGACAUUUUUUAAUAAAAAUAAUUUAACUUAUUUUUCUUAUCCUACUUUCACUAUCAAGUACAAAAAAGAAACAAAUAAAAUGAAAUCAACUCAACUCCAAUUAAGAAACCGAAUAAGAUAGUGACAUGCACAAGUUAUAUUACUUAUUUCACUGAAAUUUCAAAAUGUAGGUUAAUAAUUGAUCUAUUUUUAACAUGAGAAUGACAAAAGUAUGAGCAAAGAGUAACUCUUUUAAUCUUACUGGAUACUUGAUCGAACAAGAAAACAAAUAUAUGAAUAGGGUACGAGAAAAUAAGAGAAAUAAUUUUCUUUUGAGGAAUAUUAGUAUAUUGGAAAUGGUAAUUUAAAAGUAUAUAAUGUGUGGGUGAAGUUAAGUGACAGAGGUAUUUAUCCUAACUUUUAGUUUAUAAAGAAAGAUUGGACAAUUUAUUUCAUUUGAAAAUCAAUCAUAUAAUUUAUCACCAAUUGAUCCACUUGUUACGAAACUUCUUCUAACCUAUACAUUUAUUGGAAAUAAAAGUUAAAGGUGGUAAAGUAUGUGAUGUUUAUUUCCUAUCCUUUUAAAAAAAUAUCAAAAGUAGUUGUAUGGAAUACUAUGUUAAACUGUUUGGAGUCGACCCAGACUCUUCGAAGUACCUUCUUCCAUUUAGAACCAAGUAUUUGUCCUAAUUGGACACUUCUUAAGAUUUAGCAAGUGUAUUUAAGAAAGAGUUCAAGUUCAUAUAAAAUUUAUCAUAAUUAAGUUAAGCAUGAUAGAAAAUAUGGAAUCAACGUCCAUGAGAAAUAGUAGUAAUAAAAAAGGCAGUUGUAUUUAUGUAAGUUUUUUGUCAUUUUUAACGACGGUUUUCGCCUGAAUUAUCGUUAUAUAUCUAUAUGUAUGAGAACUGCGACAACUCACUUCAUUAGCGCGCUCUCCCUUGACAUUCUCACUCUCAACUCACUUCAUCUUCUUUCCACUCUCAAAUAAGCGUCUCCCAUCAUCUUCUUCCACUUUCAACUCUCCCAAGCGCCACCCCUUUGCCUUGCCUCCGCCACCAUUGCGAAGUUGAUCGACGCUCUUUCGCAGUCAGUCCCACCACUCUCUUUCCACCGUGAGCACCACACCUCCAUCAAGGCGUUCUCCAUCAAAGUAGCGAGCAUUGUCGCCUCCCACCGUCCCUCCCUCCCUUUGUCGUUUCUUCCAUUGCAACCACCGAAGGUUGCCGCAUCGCCACACGCUGCUUUGUGUCGCACCUCUGAUUCGCUGCAGGCUGCUCCGCACCGCGUCACGCCUCUACUCUACCGGCUGGUGGUAAUCCACGGCAGUGGUCCUCCGUGCUUGGCCACCCUUGUCCCUUCGCUCACCCGCACCAUUUUUUCCCGCCAGGUUAGUGCUUUAAUACUCUUUAUUUAUUUUUAUUAUUGUUUCAAUAGUUUUUACUUUUUUAUUAGUAUUUUAAUAUUUUUUAAUUUUUUUAUUAGUGUUUUAAUAUUCUUUACUUUUUUAUUAGUGUUUUAAUACUUUUUACAUUUUCUAAUAACUUUGUGAAUGCAACUUGUUGAUUUUGAGUCUGAGGGUGUCUGACCCUCAGCAAUUUGGAUUUUUUUUUAUAAUGAAUUAGAUAAUAUUUGUAUACAUUGAACACGUUAAUCUUGAGUCAGAGGGUGUCCUACCUUCAGCAAUUUUUAUUUAGUUUUUAUAAUGAAUUAUAUAAUAUUUGUUAGUACUGAACGCGUUGAUGCUGAGUCCGGAGGUGUCCGACCCUCAACAAUUUCGAUUUAGGUUUAUAAUGAAUUAGAUAAUAUUUGGUUGACGCUGAGUCCAAGGGUGUCCAACCUUUCGACAAUUUUGAUUUAGGUUUAUAAUAAAAAUAGUUUUCUUAAUUGAUCAGUUGUAUGGAUCGGAGUGUGAUUAAUACACCACAUAUAACUGAUGCAUACGAAAGAGGGAUGGAAGAAUUCAUACAGUUUUCACAACGCAAUGUCGUUAGUAAUCAUAACGAAGUAAGAACGACGUGUCCUUGUGUGAAUUGUUUGAAUGGAAGAAUAUUGAAUGUUUCCGAAAUUAGAGAACAUCUUUUGUGUGAUGAGUUUUUGAAAAAUUAUACAACAUGGACGUGGCAUGGUGAAUUGUUGCACUUACCAAGUGUUACCAAGUGUCCGCGAAGGUUCGAAGUUUUUUGAUUUUCCAAUGGACGAUAGAUUAGAGGAUAUGAUUUGUGAUGUGGGAGCAUAAUCUUUUGUUCAAUCGAUUUUAAAAAAUAUGUCUAAUGAUGUAGAGACUCCUUUGUAUCCUGGUUCAACUAACUUCACACAAUUAUCAACAGUGUUAAGGUUGAUGAAUUUGAAAACAAUAAAUGGAUGGACUGACAAAAGCUUUACAUAAUUACUUCAAUUGUUGGUGGACAUGCUUCUAGAAGGAAAUACAUCACCCAAUUGAAAUUAUGAGACAAAAAAGAUUCUUUGUCUGAUGUGAAUGGAAUAUAAAAAAAAUACAUUCAUGUCCUAAUGAUUGUAUUAUAUACAAAAAUGAAUAUGGUAAUUUAAGAAGAUGUCCCAAGUGUGGUUUGUCACGUUAUAAAGUUAAAGUUGGUGAAAAAGAAUAUAAUGAUGAAGUCACAAAGGAAGGUCCUCCUGCUAAGGUCGUUUGGUAUCUUUCAAUAAUUCCAAGGUUUAAGUGUUUGUUUGCAAAUGUAGAUGAUGCUAAAAAUAUCAGGUGACAUGCAGAUAAUAGGCAUUAUUGACAACUAUUGAUCAUAUUUGUUCAAGGUCAUACCGCUGCAUGGUUUCGCUCCUUGCAUAAGAAACCCUCUAACUAUUUUAAACACAUUAUAGAUAGGUACGACAAUUUCAUUUAACAUUUAUUAUUACUUAUACAUUACAUAAUGUUAUGUGUUCUAACAUGAAAUCUUAUUAUUCCAAUGCUUAUUCUGGAUAUAACAUGUUAAGUGGGAGGGGAAAUGCAAACGCAAAAAAACUAACUUGGAUGCACCUUAAGGUAUUUAAAGUAUAUUUGUUCACUCACUUUAAUGUGUCUCAUUCAUUCAUUUAAUAACAUUUAUUUUGACUUGUAGUGGAAUAGGCAAUUUGGAAGUUAUGAGUGCGAUUAUUAUGCUAUGCAGUGGAUGUCGAUUAUUGUGCGAGCUGAAAUUGAUAGAGGUUGGGAUCAGGUAUAUUAUUCAUGCACUAAUUCAAAAAAAUUUCAAAUGUCACAGUUUUUCAAUGACCCACAACCACUAGAUUUGGAAGCAUUACAGUAUGUAACGAUAACAUGAUCAAAAUAUUUUGUAACUAUGUAUAUCACCUUAAGAUAGAUAAAUUAUUAGAAUGACAUAAAAACUUUUCAUAUAUUUACAGAACUUUUUGUAAAAUAAUAUAUGUACUUAAUUUGUUGUAUGUAUUUUUCAUAUUUAAAUUAUGAUAUUAAAUACUUUUAUUUUCUGAAAAUUUGAUAUUUUAUGUGGGAUUAAGGUGUAUAUAGAUAAAAUGAAACAUUUUUAAAAAAAAAAAAGACAUAUAACGAUGUUCCAAGAUCAUCUUUACAAAUAUUAUUUUAAAAAAAAAUACUCACUUAUAACAAAGUUUUCAAGGAAAAUCGUCUUUAAAAUUAUUAUCUUUUUUUAUUUUUUUGUUAUUUACUUGCCAAAAUAACAACAAUUGGUCACAAAUGUCGUUAAUAUUUUUUAUAAUAACGGUUUAGGAAUCAUUGUUAUAAAUUGUUUAUUUAUAACAAUACUUGUAAUAACGACAAUUUGGUAACCGUCUUUAUAUAUCCUUUUUAACUGUUGUUAAUGAGUGUUUUUAAUAGUGAAUGCAAUACAAUUCUUAAUUGUAACAUGAACUCGUUAAAAAAAAUACUAAAUGAUUAAAUGCUCAAGAUAUUCAAUUAUUCAUUAUGCUCUCAUUUCUUCUCUAAAAAGUCCCAGAUAUUCACAUGUUUAACUUAAUGUGAAAACAAAAUACAUUUUAUAGUACUUUUCUUGAUUUUGUUCAUGUUUGUUCUCUAUCACGUUUGAUAUUAUUUUAAGUAUUUGAUUCAUAUGUUUAACUUAAUGAUCUAAAAACAAAAAGCAUUUUCUAGUAUUUUUUUUUACUUUAUUCAUGUUUAUUUUUUUAUCACGUUUCAUAUUAUCUUAAGAAUUAAAUGUAUUUUUUUUUAUGUAUUAUAACGUAAAAUUGAUUUGUGUCUUUAGUCCAAACUUUAGAUUUAUGGAAUGCUUAUAAUAAAAAAAUUGGCAUUGGUUCAUUUCAAUAGUUCAUUUACUAUAAAAAUCUAUAAGGUCUAAAGUUUGAACUAGAAACACUACAAGAAAAUCAUUAAAUAACAACCAAAUUUAGAAUAAAAAAAAUAAUUAGUCACUAUAUUAACUAAAUUAAAUACUAUUUUAGAGACUAAAAAAUUACUGGUAUCUAAUGUGAUUUCUAUUAUUAAUAACAAUUUAUAAAAUAAUUUCUAAAUUAGUAUCUAAACUAGCUAUUAGGUUUUAGCUACUAAUAUUUUAGAUUCUAAAUUAGUCUCUAAAAGACUAAUAGAGACUAAUUUAGAAUAUAAAUAAUUAGUAGAUAAAAUCUUAGUAGCUAAUGGUUAAAUACCAAUUUAGAAACUAUUUUAUAAUUUUUUAUUAAUAAUUGAAACUACUUUAGAUACAAAUAAUUUUUUUUAGUUCAUAAAAUGGUAUCUAAUUUAGUCAAUAUAGUAACUAAUUAUUUUGGUCUCUAAAAUUAGUUUCUAUUUCACAAUUUUCUUGUAGUGAAAUGAAAACUAAUUUCACAUGAAAGUAUAAUAACAAUAUAUAUAUAUAUAUAUAACCUUUAUUUUAAAUAUUUGUUUCAUAUGUUUAACUUAAUAAUGUAAAAAAAUGCAUUUUCUGUUUUUUGUUUACUUUAUUCAUGUUUGUUUUCUAUCACGUUUGAUAUUAUUUUAAAUAAUUGUUUGUUUUUAAAUUUUCCUUAAAAAAAUACUUUGUAAUCAUAAUCAAAAUAAAAUAAUUCAAAUACAAGCUAUAUAAAAAUAAACAUACUUAAUGAUUUUGAUAAUUUAUGAAAAAAUAUGAUGGUAUAAUUACCUUUUUUAUCUAUACAUUUAGGGUUAAUAUUCAAUUUAUUACAGUGUUUUAAAAAAAAUCAAUUUGUUCAUAAGUUUUUUUUUAAAUGUAUGUAAGUUGGUCUCUCCUAUUAAAUUUCCACCAACAACCUUAAGUGUUGAUGAUGUGGCAUAAAGAAGGGCACACAUGGACUAAGAAAUGGGACACACUUAUAAUGAAGUUUUGUGACUUGACAAUUGGAGGGUUUGAAAGAUUAAACACAACGAAAUUGGGAAAAAGAGAUUAGGGUUUGUUUAAUAGCAUUCAAUGAUUUAGGAUUUGGGCGAUUUGAAUUCUUGAUUGUGGUGUAGUGUUGACGAUUUGGAUUCUUGAUUUCUAAGCUUAGAUAUUCCUCAUUUUCGUGAUUGUGGUACGCGAUUUGGAUUCUUGAAUUCAAAAGGCAACUUGAAUAUCAUCUUAGGAUUCAUCUUAAAUUCAAAAAUCUACUUGAAGGUCCAAAAGACAAAGAUCAUUAUGCAGCAAAAUCAAAGACAAAGAUUGCAGCAAAAUCAAAGGCAAAGAUUGCAAGCUCUCACAUGGGUCUGUGUUGUUGAUCUUACAAUCACCGUAGUUUGCAUCCAAAUUUUCCUCGAAGGUGUCACACUGCACGUCAAACCACCAAACACCAACAUUGUACCAAAUCGCACUUCACAAAAUCGCACUUCACCAAUAUUCAACUUUAACCCCAAACUCACUGAUUGCAAUUUAAAAACCCUAACCCUAAUGUUCAACUUUAACCCUAGUCACCAAAACUCAUUAAUUGCAAUUAAAAAACAUUAACCCCAAUAUUCCACUUUACUAAUUAUCAACUUUACUGUAUCAAAUUAAAUCUUACUCUAAAUAGAAGAACCAGUAAAGUAAUUAUAUCAAUAUGAUUUUUCACGUGUUGUUCUAAAAAGCAUAUGAUAACAUUAUUAAGUAUUAUGUUAUUGAUUGUAUGUUUAUUACCAUUUACUUUAGUUAUUUUAUACAUUUACCAUAAACCUAAAGAGAGGCAGAAAUGAAUAAUAAUAAUAUAAGAAAAUUAGUUAAUAAAAUAAGAAGGCUUUUGUAAUGUUGACGUAUUUUGAUAAUAUGAGUACGACCAUCCCUUUUUAUCUGCAAUAUAUAAUCACAAACUUACAAACAACUUUGCUCUGCUACUUCAACAAAGUAUUCACUGCAGGAAAUUAAGACAUUGAACUUUUUGCGAAUAAAAUCAAUGUUAAUAAUUUUGUUUCAACAACCCCUACUGAAAUGGGGUAAAAGCUUUGAAAAAAAGAAAGAAGUCGGUUGAGAUUCGUUGUUGAAGAAUCGCUCUCUCUACCAUUUUCUGUGCCUUCAUGCCGACACCCUUCCUUUGCUUUGCCUCCUCUCACACUCAUCCAAUCACUCUACUGUGUGAGACUAUUUUAAUAAAUAAUAAACUUUCUUAAAAUAAAACUGUUAAAAAAUUAAUUUAAAUUUACUUCUAAUUUAUACAGCAAGAUAUAUGUUAUAUUAGCUUUGUAUAUAGUUGAUGUGCAUGUCUAACCAUAACGUUAUUAUAGGAUGUUUAAAAGUGAAGUUAACUAAAGCUUUUUUUUUUCAUUGAAUAAAACUUUAUUAUAUAUUUGUAUUCUUUCAUGAUCCAGCAUCUACUCACCAGUUUUGGAAUAUAUUAUUAAUUCCAGACUUGGGGUUGCUAUUUCCAAUCUCCACCCAUUCCAACUGUCUCUGGCCCUCACACAUAAAGACAUCUAAAAAUUCAACUAAUGCUUUUUCAGAAGGUGAGAGUGAAAGUGAGAGAGCUCCUAGGCUUAUAGGUUAUCUAUGGUCCACCAAGUUUGACAAACAACCAUCAAUUUCAUGCCUUCAUUACCACUCCAAUCAUAUCAUUCGCCACUGCAUCACCAAAAACAUGAAUUUAACGUAAUAGUAAUUGCAGUUAUUGAAUGUCUUGUCUUCAACUCCUAUACAUACACUCUAAAUGGAAUUGUUUUUUUUUUAUAUAAUCUUUUGUAUCUCUACUACUGACGUUGAAGAACAAAGUUUAGUUAUAGAAUUAAAAAAAUGUGGUUUUUUUUAUUAUAAACACGGAAUAAAAUGUUUUACUCUUUUUAUAUUAAUAUGAAGAAUAUUAUUGUGAAACAAACCUAUUCUACACUCUAUAAAGAUAAAAUUGAUAUUAAUUUGAAUAAACUUUCUCCUUUAAGUUUUUUUUUCUUCUAUUUUUUAUAAUGAUAUUGUUGUGCUUACACAUGUUAGUUAUAUUGUUCCUUUAGUUUCUAAAAAUGUGUUGUCUUCAUGAAGUAUUAAGUAACACUGUUAAUGAUUCUUCUAAUACAUUACAUUUAACUCAUUUUGAUACCUUACAACAUCAACAUUAGGAUCUACAACCUUCACCUAUUCGAGUUUCUACUCGUCUCAUACAACAAUAUGGAUAUUUGAAGGAUUAUCAUACUACUUUUUUUUCUCUUCAAAGGAUGUUACCAAUCAUUCUUCAGGUACUAAAUAUUUUAUUCAAAUAUCCAUAAUUAUAACUCUACAUAUUCUUCUUUCUAUUAUAAUAUUUUUUUUUCUAUCUAAGAUCAUAGAUAAUUUAAAGAGAAGAUAAAAUAUGAUUGUUGGAAAGGAGUUAUGCAACGUGAACUUAAUGCUUGAGUCUAAUGAAACUUGGUUUUUGACGGAUUUGCUUCCUAUAAAACAUCUUAUUAUGUGUAAAUGAGUUUUUAAAACUGAGCAUAAACUAGAGGACACCAUUGAUCAGUACAAGGUUGACUAGGUUACCAAGGGAUAUACUCAAACUCAAGGUAUUGAGUAUUUUGAGACUUUCUUUUUGGUAGUUAAAAUUACUACCAUUCGAUUUAUAUCUUUCGCAAGUGUUAAGGAAAUAAUUAUUCGUCAAGAGUGAAUAAUGUCUUUCUUCAUAACGAUCUUGAUGAAGAAAUUUACUUGACUCCUCCCAGUGACCUUAAUUUUUUUUAUACAACAAAAAUUUAUAAACUUAAAAAAGAAAUAUGGACUAAAACAAGUGAGUAGACAAUAAAACUUAAAACUAACUCCAACAUUCUUUGUUUAUUUGUAGUGGAACAAAUCUUUCUUUCACAACUCUAAUACUAUAUUAGUUUUAUAUACUUUAUUUAUAGAGAAAGGAAAAAUAAAUACAAGAAAAUAAAUAAUUCAAGAAAGUAUUCAUUAAUUUACAGAUCUGAAUAAUCUUCUAUUUAUACAACAAAUAAAAAAUAAAAUAAUAAGAUUGAAUAACUAUUAUGAGAUCAGAUUUUUCGAUCUAACAAAAAAUGUGUCCAAGUACUAUGUUUUAAGAACGGAAACAUCUUUGAGGGAAGUUUGAACUAACUAGAAGGAUUAGAGUUCUAUAUUUUGGCAGCGGAAAGAGAAACAGAAUCCGGACCCCAUAAGUAAACGGACAUGUUCGUGUUGGCUAACAAACAAAGCCCAUGGGGUAGGGCGUUGUUUAUAUUCUCCUCAACUUGAAAGCAAUUGCGUGUUUGACUUUAGUUGAAGAAGACUUUGGGAUGAUUAAUACACGAGUUUGACUUUUUAGGAAGAAAACGAAUGCCUUGGGACUUUGCAGUGGAAAAGAUUCGCCAAUCUAGGAGUUAUGAAAGCGGAGUAACACCUCAGUUUUUUUUUAUCAUGUCAUGUGCCAUUCAAGAUUCUCUAAAACAGAAACAAUAUCUAUGUCAGAUUCCAUUAAGACAAUUUCUCAUGCUUAACAAUAUCCCGCGUUACUCACUCCUGGUUAUAGAUUCCAAAUUGCUGAUAAAGUUUGAGCAUAUAUUCGACCUUAGAUUACAGGAAAAUUGAUAGAAAAGAAAAAAAAGCUUCCUCUCUAGAAAAUUACUACAGGAACAUUACAGCAUACAUUUUCUACAACACUCUUCUGGCCUUUACAAGUAAGUGCUGCUCAUGCACUUUCUUCUGUAUAUAUAUAGUUUCCCAGUUCCCAGGAUAUUUAACGACUUGAAGAAAUAAAUGAAAAGGCAGCAGAGAAAGAAGAGAAGGGAGUGGAAAGAAUUGAAUGAAUCCUAAAAUGUAAAAUUCCUAAAAGAAUUGUCACGCUGAGGAUGUGUCAACAAAAACCUCGUUUAACACAUCGUCCUCACCGCUGAACAGCUCUGCAUCCUUCUCUUCAUCACCUGAAAAAUCCUUUCUUUCCAACUUGGAAUGAGCUGCAGUAAAAAUUAACUUGUGGGUCCUAUCCAGUGCUUCUCUGGAGUGUCCUUGCGCACACACCCAUCUCCAGGAAGACCAAUUGCAUUUGAAGCCAGGCGAAGUUGCGUGAAGGAAAAUCAACCUAACCGCAACUCUUCCCAAGGACUUAAACUCAGUGAGAUAAGUUUCCCACACAAGUCUACUGCUUUGGGGAUUCACAAUCCUCAUUUUCCCAGUUGCAGGAUCCCUCUCCUUCAUCUGCACAGCACGAGCGUACACAGGGUCAAGCCCUUGCGUUCUCCAUUUCAUCAGCUCCAUUAGAACAAUAUGAGCCUCGUCCCUUGAAACCAGCCUUGUGAUGAGCUUAUCCACAUCUUUCUCUUGUUCCGCCGUCAAGUACUUAAACGGUGGAAGGUACUUCCCACUUGUGUCCCUAACCAAAUAAAGAGGGUCAAGAAUGUAAGCUGCGGCCCAAGCAGGGUGGUAGUUUUUCAUGAACCGUUUUUCAAUGACUCUCUCCACCACUCCUUCCGCAACCUGGAAUUUGGAGCACCACUCCUUCACUCGUGCCCUUAACUCACCCCAGAGUGGAAGGCAUUGCCCUACAAGAGGCCUCUCUGUCUCAAUCUCCAGAACCAUCUCCUUCACCAACUUAACCAACGAACGAACCGCCUCCAACUCAUUCCAGAACCCCACAUCUCCAAUCAUCUCCCCAACUUCCCUCGCAUUCGGGUCUUCAACGACCGCCAUUUUCAAAGACUCGUCCAAAAGCAACAGCUGCAACGCCCCAACCGAACUCAACAAGUCCUCCAUCAUUGCAUACACAGUCUCAAAAGACUCGAAGUCCCCCGAGGGCAACGGCAUUCGGAGCAACCACGCGUGUCCGUAUUCCUGCUGUUGGUACUUGUGGAAACUGCUCCUCACUUGAGUUUCGUGGUUAACGAAACUCGCCAGCUUGACACAAUUCUGAGCUACGGUGCUAAAGAGCGAGAGCUCCUUGCUGAAGUCCUUGAUCAAACUGUUGAACCCUUGGUACUGACAAGAAAGGUUAAUCAUCCACGGGUUUCGAUUCUCCAAGUUUCUCAACGCCUUCUUCUUAAACUUAUCCGCAACAACGCCAACACAUUGUUGCACGACAUUCCCACAAAUGCCGGUCACUGUCUCCCAAAUAACUUCUUCCGCAUAACUGGAAGGUGCAGAGCCGCCAACAAAAACCGUCCUUCUGUGCAAACUGGUCCCAUUGGGAAGAUUCACGCUCAUGUUAACCAACUUCUCUUCGCAGUACUUCGUGCCCUUCCAUUUCCACCCAUCCGAGGCUACUUGGAAGAACAGAGCGUCUCUGAUUCGCGCUUCUGAAUCUGCUUUAGCUUCUUCAAACUUCGCAUCCAAUCUGCUUCCAGUGAACUCUCUGACAGACACUGAGGGUAACCCGACCUGAUUAAGAAACGCUCUGAACUUGGGGUGCUCCAGAGCGGAGAAAGAGACAGAACCACAAGAUUCGUAGACCCAAUCAGCGAGAUAAUCAAAGGCGCUAUCGACUUGACUUUUGCUGAGAGUUGGACCAGGUGAAGUUUUGGGACUCUUUAGCUUCUUCACACUGUCUUCCAACAUAGCUAAAGCGCCCAAAUCCUCCUUCCCUCCCGACAGCACCAAAUGCGGUUGCUGCGGCAGCGCAUACGUCAGCUCGCCGAAGAAUCGCGAUGGAUCCACCACCGCCAGCGGCGGCGCUUCGGAGGAGGAAGCGGGGCCGGAAUCGGAGGUUCUCUUCCGGUAGUUUUGGUUGGUCGGGGAAGAUGGUGGAGAGACCGCCAUGGCGGCAGCGGCGGCGGAAGGGGAUACGGAAGAGAUUGGUUUGGCGGCGCAAUUGAAAUUGGGGCAUGUUCCGCGCUUUAGAUGCUCAGAGGCUGUGCGAGAGGGAUUGGAAGCAGAGAAAACGGCGUCGCAUAGGGAGCACCUGAGUUUGACGGCUUUGGGGAGCCCCGUUUCGGUGUUGUGCAGCAGCAUGGGUUCGAGGUGCGCCCAGUACCAUGCCCCUUUUCCCUUUAUAGCUUUGGUUCGAACCGUCAGCAACCCUUCGUAGCGCUUGUGCGCGGACUUUGCAGUGAGUUCAUCGGCAGAGGGUGUGGUACUCGCCAUCGCAAGUGGGAAGUUGAAGAAACAGUGAUGAUUUCAAUAGGAAUUGAAAGUGAUGGUUUUGUUUUAUUACAUGUUCAAAGGCUUCAAGUUCUGUGUUCUGUGCAUUCAGUCGGGAAAAGCAGACGGCGGAAGCGGCCGGAAUUUGAAUUUCCGGUGGGUUGCCAUGGAACUAAGCGACCAUCUCCAUCAGGACUUUUAGGGGGAAAGUGGGGUUUGUUAUUUGAAAGAUGUGUGUGAAAAUAUGAACGCUCUAGAGAAAACAAGAACAAUCUCCUUCACCUUCACGCCGAAAUUAUCUGCGAGUGGGGAACAUUCUUCAGGAAUGUUGAUGGGAACUGCUACAACGAGGUAACGCUGGAAUAACACCUGUUACGCAUCCCACGGACGAAACCAAGACUUCAUCAUGGCUGGCGCAGCCCAAUUCCCACUCUCUUGCAAGUGGAAAACACGCGCCCUGGAGGAGGCUUUAAGUUUUCAGUUUCCACAUUUGUUUCACGUUCUCUAGCUUUGUGUUUUUUUAAACCUCUCUUUAUUACUUCUCUACACUCAAAUUUAAAUUAUAUAAAUUUCAAUUUCCUAAAUUUUAUAUAAAUAAGCUUAUUUUUAAAUUUAAAUACAAUUUAAAUAUAAUUCAGAAAAAAAAAUGUGUUAUUAUAUAAAUAAAUAUAUUGGACUAAUUUAACUAAUAUUCUUAAUCACUGUAAAAGAAAUUAGAUUUACUUAUAGUAAAGUGUGGACAAAUAUUUGUUUAUUCUUUUCCCUUUUGCUUCCUGGGCCCUUAUUGUGGGUCUGUUGCCUGUAUUUUAAAUUUAAUGUAGGGUUUGAUUUUGAUAAGAAAACAAAAGGGACUUUUUAGUCUUUAUAUUUUAUACUCUUUAUUCGCAUUUGUUAACAAAAAUAGGGAAUACAAAUAUAUGGUUCCCUAGAAUACAUAGUUCACUUAAUUCUAAACUAAUUUAGAUGGGAUUUUUAAGAUAAUUAAUACAAAAUAAAUUAUUUAAUAUUCUCAGCAUAUUAUGAAAUUUCAUUUAUAGUUUGCAUAUAAUGAAAUUUCAUUUAUACUUUGCGUUAAAUAAAAUAUCUUGCACUAAAUUUUUUUCUAUAUGUUUAAGACUAUAAUAAAAUAUGUAUAAUUAUUUUCAAAAUUUAAAAAUAACGUACUUUUAUAGAUAAAUGAUUAAAUGGUUCACUGAAUGUAUAUUCCAUCAUAUAAAAUUAAGUUAUGAUAGGAUAACGCAUGUGAUGAGUUCAUUAUAGACAAAAUUCUGACAUUUCAACUAAUUACCUUUUCUUUUCACGCUCAAAUAACUCUCUGUAAUGUAUCGUGGUUAGGAAUCUCCGUGUAUUGUUUUAAGAAAACAAUAAUUCAUUACAUUAACAACACAUCAUACAAAGUAUUUUUUUUAAGCAAGUUAUUUUUUUUAAUUUGAUAUACAGUAAAUUUAGCUCCUCUUAUAGUUUUUUCAGUCCUGAAAAUAGAAAUACCUAGAUUAUUAUGUGUUUGUUUAGACUUUGAAAACAUCUAAAACUUAGGUUAAGUGAUCAUAUGAGACCAGUAAACUUAGGAAGUUUUUACACAACCAUGGUUUCCUUUUAUGAUGGGACUUUCUUCUUUGGAAGAAGAAAUUGAAGAAAAAAGAAGGGAGAAAAGCAGCAAGAUGUGCAUCUUUUUAGCCCUCAUGAUUUGAAAUGCCAAAAAUGGUUAAGGAAGGAACAUGUAUAGAGAGUAAGAGGGUGAGGAAGAGAAGUGUAGUUAGGGACUAAAAUGGGAGCCCCAUGAUCACCACGCGUACGGCUAAGAUUGAAAAACUCAUAUUCCUAAUUAUUCCAUCAGAAAAGAAAGCCAUAAAGUCUGAGGAACAGUGAGAAUGCUCAUUUCAAAUUUCACUCACUUUAUAAAAGUGGUUCAAGAAAAAAGCAAGAUAUGGGCCAACAAAUUCAUCACAAAAUUUGGAAGAUGAAAUUUUGGUGUAUGAGAUUAGAUUACAAACCACAUAAUUGGUGGUGACCCAAUGAUAGUCUUCAAUGCCAAACGGCUCCUUCUCUUAAACUCAUACCCAAGCCAAAAAAACUUCACGAGAAAAUAAAAUAGGGCAAUUUUAAGAAAAUAAAAUAGGCCAAAAAACUUCACGAGAAAACAAAAUAGGACAACUCUUUCAUCUUUUCCAUUAAGCACCUCUCUUUUUCUUCUCGGUUGCAGCAACCUACACCUCUAACUUUCAUUGCCGCAGCAAUUUUUCAUCUCCACGUCACCGCCACAACACCUCACAUGUCCAACGCUACCAUCACAUCUCACCUUCACAGUCUAAAGCAGAAUUUUUUUUUUUUAUAUUCCAGUAUAAUUUGGAAUACAUCAAAAUAACCAAUUUUAGUAAUUUGAAAAUUUAGGGUGAGAAAAAACUAGGCAGUUUCUCCUGCACCAUAUCAUUUUAAACAUGUACCCAACAUAAAUUUUAAAAUCUAAUAUUGUCCUUAACUUUUUUUGAAAUGCUACAAAGAAGUAUUAUCUUACUAUGGUGUGCGUUUUGAAACCUUUAUAUUUUUUGAAAUGCUACAGAGGAGUGUUGUGUUAAUGUAGUAUGGAUUUUGAAUGGAAGUGGUGGUGGUGUAGUGAGUUGCAACAGUGACAAUGGUGUAGUGAUUUUUUUUUUGUAGCAGUGGCAAUGGUGCUCACUUCUCCUUCCCUCUAGGCAACCAUCUUUCUCUUUGCUGCUGCUACCUUGCAACAAGCUUAGUGAUGGGUUGGGUGCAAAUAUAAUGUUGUUGGGGUGUAGGGUUGUAAUGUUCAUUGCUAGUGGAUUGGGUGCAAAUACAGUGUUAUUGAGGUGUAUGGUUUUAUGGUUCAUAUAGUGUUCAUUGCUAAUGGGUUGGGUGCAAAUACAAUAUUGUUGGGCGUAAGAUUUUAUAUCAUGAAGGACAAAUAAAUCUUUUAAAAUAAUAUUAUUGGAUGCAGUCUUAAUUGAUAUGGUGCAGGAAGAAUCUGCCAAAAAAACUAUGGAGGUGCAUGAAAAAUUUACCAAAAAAAAUACUUGGAUUGCAAACUACAAGUCCGUUUGUCAAUAGCCCAAGAUUAGUUACUAUCCAUUUUUUUUUAAAAUGAGCCAUUAAGGGCCACUAUGCAAAUGAAAAGGACAAGUUAGUGGGCUUUCCUUUUUUUCGUAAGGAAUCAAUGGCCCAUAAAGAAAACAAACAUGUAAAAAUGAAAAAAUAAACGCCCACCGUGGGGCUCGAACCCACGACCACAAGGUUAAGAGCCUUGCGCUCUACCAACUGAGCUAGACGGGCAGAUGUUAUAUGAUUGUUAUUCUUUAUUUAAGACAUUAACUAUCAUAAUUUGUUUUCCUAUAAUAUUUUGCAAAUACAAUUUCUUAUUUUUUAUUCAAAAUUUUAAUUCAUGAUACUAUACAUGUGAAUUAUUUUUAUCAGAAGUUCUAGCUAAUUUUCUUGUCAUUCGUAACUUCAUUAUUCAGUUUUUAAAGUUAUUUAGUUUUAUGAUAUUCUUCAAUCAAAUAUUGAUUUUAAUUGUUUGAAAAAGUGUAUAUUAUUUUUACAAAAUCUCAUUGUGUGGGAAGGAGGAAGAGUCUUACUGCCAUUUGUUUUUCGAUUGCAGAUUUGCUUGGCGGGUUUGGUGCCUUUGCCUUGAGUGGUUGGAGGUGGCGUUUGUGUCCCAUAUUGAUUCGGUGUUAAACUUUGCACAGUUUAGGAUGUGCCAGUCUUCAAAGUCAGUUAAUGAAGUGUGGCGCACAAUUUGGGUUGGGCUGGUGAGUGAAAUUUGGACCCACAAGAAUUUUAUUAUCUUCAACAGGGGAGUGGCUGAUGCGUCUGAAGUGUGUGCACGGGUGCAAGCAAAUGUUUGGUCUUGGAUUAAUGCUAGAUCUUGAUCCGCUUCGUUUCCCUUUUCUAGCUGGUGUAUGGUACCUUUGGAGUGUAUGAGAAUGGUUGUUUGAUGUAGUUUAAGUCUAUGUCCGGUUAGUGAUUGUGUUUGUUAGUUUGAGAAUUUUAGCUAGUAGUUGGUUUGAUAUCUCUUGUUUCCUUUGUACAAGGGUUGAACCACCCCUGAAGUGGCUCGCAUUUAUUAAUUUAUUAUUGCCGAUCAAAAAAAAAAAUCCCUAAUUUUACCCAUAUAUAAUCAAAUAAAGACAAAACAAGUAAUAUGUAAUUAAUAUAUAAAACAUAUACUAUUUUCUCUUAUUUGGAUCCAAAGAAGAUAUUCCUCUUCAUAGGGAUUUAAUACAAACGUUUAUAAACAAAACAUUUCAACAUAAAAAAGAUAUGUUCCUCUGACUACUCACUGAGGAACUCUAACACAUGCAACUUCAUCUGCUCCCGUGUAAAUUAACAUGAUCAUCUGCUAGCUAUUUUUAAGGAUUCUAAUAUAAAUCUGACUUUUAAGAACAAGCAUAAUCCAUCAAAUCCUCAUAAUUUACACAAAGUCAUCAAGUGUCUAUCAAAUUUAUCAUCCACAUUAUUCCUGUCAGAUUUCUACUGACUCACAUACUCAGACACUUGAUUCUACUUCCGGAAGACUCAUGUAUUGAAAUUAGAAUCCUCCUAAGACCUGCACCUGUCAUACUAUUAACUAUGAAUCCACAUAGUCAUGUGCAUAAACAUGUCAAUAUUUCAUCAACUCAUCAUUUCAUAUGACAGGGUAAAUUCAUAUGACCUGAAAGACGAGAUUAUAUUUUAAACCGUAGACAAAGUCAUAUGAACCUUCUUCGACUCUCACCAGUUGAAUACUUUCAUGUAUGUGAUUCCAUUAUACCAGUAGAGUCAGGAUUGUCUCCUUACGAGGCCUAACAAAUAAAUACACCCUAACAACAAUCUCAACACGGUAUUUCCUUUUCUGAAAAUACUAUGUCUUGAUCACACUUUCACACCAUUCCAUAUCUCAUUUAAUAUCAAACAACCAAAACUCAUCAAACAUCACAUUUGAAUUAAUUCAAGAAACAACAAACUAUUCAAAUACACUCGUUAACUCAUUCAAUUCCAAAGUCAUAUACAUUCUACAACAUUUAUUAUAUCUACAACUUUACAUUUCAAUCUCAAACAAAUUAUAUUUCAAUUCUCAUAAAAAAAACACUUUCAAUUCUCAAACAAACACUUUCAUUAACUUAUUCACUUUUAAAUCAAUGUAUAAUAUUCAAAAUUAACCAUUUCAGUCAAUAUAUUACUUUACUCUUAGAAAAGACAAUCCUGCAAGCAAAAUUUAAUAUUGAUGACCACGCCACCGCCACAUCCAGAUCUUCUAACCUAUUGAAAAGAAUAAGACUAGUUUCCCUUACCUUUACAUGAGCAAAUGCUCAUUAAGAGCUCCAAAUAUACCAAAAGCUUAAAGAUAAUUAACCUGCACCACAUAGCCCUGAUAAAAAAUAUAACUAUAUCACUAGGACCCUAAGCUAACAGAUAUUCACCUUGAAGCUAAAAGAUUUACAUGUAAAGCAUAGACAGAGACAACCUAACAAGUUCAAAAUUUGACGCAAAGAGAAGAGCAAAAAUGAACUUACUCUAUCUGAGAUUUUGAUCAGGCAGUCUUGUACUGUUCACUACCAGGAGUCCAAUGACAGACUUCGAUCAUCAAACUAAUAAGCAAGGAGAUCAGAAUCUUAGAGAGAAGGGGAAAGAAAGGAAAAAGGAACAAAAAUGAAUUUACUCUAUCAAAGAUUCUGAUUGGACAACAGUCUUGUAGUCCUCGCUGCUAGGAGUCUAAUGGCGUACUCCAAUCGUCAAAAUGAUGAGGGAGGAGGUUAGAAUCUUAGAGAGAAGGGUGAGGAAAGGGAAAAGAAAACUUCUAAAGAGCUGGUGGUUGUUUUAAAAUGAAAUCUGAAUAACUGAUUUUUCUAUUUAUAUGCUUUUUUUCAUUUUAAUAAUAAAAUAUUCAAGUGUCAUUUAAAAUGUACAACUUCUACUUUAAGGUUAUUUUCUAGAUCCUUACAUUCUUCCCAACAAAAGAAGUUUCGUCCCUGAAAAUUGACUUACCAGAAAAGAGAUAGGGAUAGGUUUUUCUAAUGGUUUCUUCCAAUUUUCAAGAUGAAUCACCAGAUCUAUCAUCCCACACCACCUUCACCAUAUUGAUGGUCUUGCCUCUGAGCUGUUUACUCUAAUGAUCUUCAACCUUAACUGAUUUUGCUUCAAAAGACAAGUUAUCCUUGAUUUGCACAUUAUCCACUUCCAAUACGUGAGAGAUAUACUUCCUUAGCUAUGAUACAUGAAAGACAUUAUGCAAGUUUACUAACUGAGGAGGUAUAGCAAUCUCAUAAGCCACUGGACCUAUCUUCCUUAGGAUCUGAUAUGGUCCAAUAAACUUAGGAGAUAAUUUCCUUGAUUUGAUAGCUCAUCUUACACUCUUGGUUGGUGCCACUCUCAUGAACACAUGGUCUCCAACUGCAAUUUCCAAAUGCUUUCUCCUUUUACCUGCAUAUGAUUUCUGCCUACUUUAAUAAACUUUCAUUUUAUCUUGUAUCUACUUCACCUUCUCGGUGGUUUAUUCUAAAUUAACUCAUAUAGUUAAAAAUAUAUAGUUUAUUAAAUAUAACUGUCACAUUUGUCAUUCUCUCAAUAUUAUUUCUCUUUUGUCUUUCUUCAGUUCAAUGUACAUUUCACAUAAUUCUCUCAAUUAAGCAAACAUAAAUAUGAAUUAUCUCAAAUUAACUAUAUUUCUUUUAUUCUUGUAUAAAUGUACGCAUGCUAUUUAUUAUCCACUUAUUUCCUUCCAUCUAUAUUUUUUGUCUUUAUCUAUAAAUUACGUUUAAUUUUUUUUAAAGGAAAUUUUAAUUGUUUAACUUAUAUCAUAAUUUAAAUUAUUUAUGUUAAAUUCAACAUAUGAUUUACAUUUAAAUGUAUUUUUAUUACGAGUUUCAUCAUAAUGAUUUUUAAAUUUUUUAAUUAUAGUACUAUUAUAUAUUUAAUUAUUUAUUUUGAUUAUAGAUUUUUAUUUAUUUCAUACCAUACUAAGAUGCGAAAAUACUAAUUUUUCUUACGUAAAACAUUUUAUAACAAUCAUUUUAUUUAUUUUAAAACUUAAAAUGUAUUUAAAUUAUGUACAAUUAUAUAUAUAUAUACGAAUAUAAAAUAUAUUUAACUAUUAUAACAUGAAUAAAUAAUUUAAAUACACUUUUAAAAUACAAUGAUGAAACAACCCCGUGAUAAAUAUACUAUCGCGUGGAGAUGUCACUUUCAAAUUGAAUAUUUAGAAACAUUUGAAAACGAUAGGGUUUGAAUAUUUUAGAACUGUAAAAUUAGGAUUUUAGUUAUUUUUUGUUUGGCGUGUUUAGUAUGUGGGCUAAUUAGGUCAAAACGAUUUGUGAAUAUAAUUGGGUUGACCCAAUGUCGAUCUAUUUUAUAAAAUGAUAUUAUAUUUUUAAAAGAUAAUAUUUGUAAUAUAUAAAUUAUAAUUCAAAUAUUAAAUUAUUAUAAUUAAGUUUUAAAUUAUAUUUUAUUUACAUGAUUUAAAUUUUAAAAUUCCAGAUAUAUUUUUAUUGAUUUCUUUAAUUUUCAAACAGGUAAGAAUAGCAAUAGCCCAUAUCCAUUUAAAAAUGGACCAAAUUGGGCUAUGUAAAUUUGUUUAGUGAGGUGUAUGUGAGUGCCAGCCCAACCGACCAUUUGAGCAAAAGAAAAAUAGAUAAUAUUUCGUAAAAAAGAGUUUAUUUUAUCACCAAAAAUCACUAUUAUGCAUUACUUAAUGAAGGAGGAAAAGUAUAUAAAAUAAUGGAUGGCCGGUGCCAACCGCUUGGCUUUCUCAUAACUCACAAACUACUUAAUUUAUAANNNNNNNNNNNNNNNNNNNNNNNNNNNNNNNNNNNNNNNNNNNNNNNNNNNNNNNNNNNNNNNNNNNNNNNNNNNNNNNNNNNNNNNNNNNNNNNNNNNNAGUUUAAUUCUCUAAAUUUAUUAAUAAUUUUCUAAGUUGGUGAAAUUUGAAAAUAAAGAGAUGAAAAGCAAGUAUGUGUAUGUGAAAGGAAUGUAAGAUAUGAGGAAUGGUAGAUUGGAGAGAAGAUGAUGGGAAGAUAAAUAGGAGGAAAGUCCACAUCAACAACCAUUUUCUGUUUAUUCUCAAUCCAACUAAAAUUCACGCAACUACCAAUUUUAUUGUCUUUUAACUACAAUUCACGCAACUCAUCCUCUCUCAGGCCACUUCUAUGUCUCCACGGACAACUUCGCCGUUCGGUUCCGCUCGGAGAAAUAAGCCGCGCCAACCGUUACCGUCGCCCCGCCGCCGGACGAACAACAAGUCGAAGCCUGUCAAGACCUUGAGGCGCUGCUCAUCGGCGCCGCUGCUUACACGUCUAGAUAACGGCGAUGCUGACGGCCAUUGUUGGAGAAGUGGAAGAGGCUCGUUUUUUCGACCUAAAACGUUUUCUGAUGCCUUUCUCUCUUCCCCUUCUCCCUUUUCCUCUCCGCGGAUUCACACUAAACAGGUUAUUCUCAACUUUACUAAACGCUCCUUCUUCAUUUUUAUUAAUUAUUAUUAUUAUUAUUAUGAAAAUAGAACUGUUUACUUUUUGCAACGUUUACAACGAACAUCGUGUUAUUCUGUCCGGUUAGUAGAAGGCUGAAAUUAGGGUUGAAUGAUUAUAAAUUACGGUGGUGGGAUGUGAUGACCUUCUAAUUUUGAUGAAUCCCUUCAUAUAUCUUGCAUGAUAAGGUCACUUAAUUUGCUACCUAAUCAGCGAGAGUCUGUCUCAUAUGUUUCUUUUCGUUUGAGGAAAACCCAAAAAGGAAGUUUGGUAUGAACAACUAAACUAGAUUAAAGUGUAUUUCUUUUAUGAGGUGGUCCAAAAUUGGAAAGAAUCCUGAAGUUUCGGCCAAGCACUGUUAUUGUUCUGUAAGGUUUAAGACAGAACAGGGUCAAAUUUGAGGGAGAGAGAGGCUUUUGUUUUUUUUCUUCUUUUGUCUCUCAAACUUGCCAUUGGCUAUGCUUUUCGUUUGCGCAACGCAAGAAUAGCCCUGAAAAACUUGAGAGGUGGCGUGAAGAAUAUCAUAUCAAGCAUGCAUUAACUACUUGUUUUUAUCAAAAUUCCAAACCACGAACAUGAUUCAUACAUGAAAUGUUCAUUUUUUAAUCUUCCUAAACAAAUAAUAUUUGAAGAUAAUAAUUGCGAUGCUUGGUUAUUUAAAUUCUUUCAUGAGCAUGGAAUGUCUUUUUGUUUUUGCCAUUUGUGGUUGAAUGAGCAUGGAGUGUAAUUUAAUAAUCUAUCUUACGUAGCACCUCAAGUGGUAAAGAUUUAAAUAUUAGACUUAGUAACGUAGUAUGCAUGACUUUAAACUAAUUACUACUUGAGAGAACUAAAAAUAAAGACUAAACAUGGUCAAGUAGUGAUUGCUUACAUGUGAUCGGAAGCACGCGUUCCUCUUGGUGAUUGGUGAUGUGUUAUUGUAUUAUUAGAUAAUAAAGGGGUACGACAAAGAGGCUAAGGUGGUAGUUAAUGUGACCGUUGAGGGAAGUCCAGGGCCAGUUCGAACCAUGGUUAAACUGGGUUCCAGUGUGGACGACACAAUCAAGCUUGUGGUGAAUAAAUACAGAGAAGAAGGAAGGAGCCCAGAUAUCAAUCCUAAUAUGGCAUCUUCAUUCCAAUUGCAUCACUCCCAUUUCAGUCUACAGAGUAAGUCAAAUUUUAAAUAUAUCACUCAUUACUUUUCCAGAGCUGUAAGUAAAGAUGAAUAGUAGUAAUUUUGUUUAACCUGUGAUUAUCAAAACUUGACAUAUACGUGAAGAGCAUUUUAUUGGAGAGGUUAUUAAUUUGGAUUACGACCUUUGCUUGGAAGGUUUGGAUAAAUCAGAAGUGAUUGCUGAUGUGGGUAGUAGAAGUUUUUAUCUGCGGAAGAAUAGCGAUGCUUCUGUUAUGACUUCAUUUCACUCUGGAAGUGCUCCCCAAUUAGUCAUUCGUGGCUCUACUCCAUCCAUAGCAAAUCCUCCAUUCUUGUUCCCUUCUUUCCUUUCCCGCAAGAUUAACAAAAUUGUAAGAAGAGCUCAGCGUCUUUGGAACAUUCUAGUUUGCUCCCAGUGAGGACGCUCAGAAUCUCUUCAAUCAAUGAUGGGAAAAAGCAACAACUUUUUAUAUGUUGCAUUUCAACCCUUCAUUUCCACUUUUUAUACUCAAAUUACAAAGGUUUCUCUAUGUUUUUUUUACUUGGGUAAAUAUUACCUUUACCCUUUUUUAGAUUUUCAUUUUUUUAUACACCGAUAUGAGUUUGGUCGGAACUCAGGUGGUUCUGAGUGGUCUCCUUUCAAACUCUAGUGAUUCAGCUCCCAAGGAAUGAGAGAAGACUCCAUCUGCAUAAAAUACUCCGACGCUCAAGUUCGUAAGAGCAUCAAAUUCAGUGUGUAUAUAAUGAGUAUUGUUCCAGAAAAUGAGUUGAGAAUACUCAUUGUAAGUAGUAAUCUAUUUAUUAGUUUAUAAACUUUCAUGAACUUGGAUAUUUGAAGUUGGUUUCUCCAGCUUUUAAUGUGAUAUAUUAUAGUAUUUUUUUUAUGUAAUAUAAUCGGAAUGGACAUUGUGUAAAUAAAUUAGAGCAUUUAUAUCAUAUAAUCACGGACAUUGUGCAGGUAAAUCAAAACAUUUAAAGAACUCAGGAUAUUACGCAUUAAAAUCACAUUAAUAAAAUUAAUUUUCAUAAUAUAUUUAUCUAAAUUAAUAUUAUUACAUUAACAUAAUUAUGUUGGAAUUUAGAAUAAUGGUCCAAAAAAUCAUGAUGAUCCAAAAAAUCAUGAUGAUCUUAACCUUGGAUGACAGGUUGGGUUAAUCUGUGUAUGGCCAACCAAAUUCGGAAUUGUGCUAUAAGUGAACAUAAGCUUCAUCAUAUUAAUUUAUUUUUUUAUUUUUAGGUUGAAGUAAGUUUAAAUUCACUUUUAAAAUACAUCCAAUUUAUUCUAAUAAAGUCUAUGUAUAUGAUCAUAGCAUGUAACCUCUUAAAGUUACAAAUCUGACUAUAAACAGAAGUCAAUCUAAUGGGGAAAGGAAAUGUGUGAAAUUAAACUUUGAAAGGAAAAAACAAUACAGUUUUGAUUGGCAAUUUAGUUUAAUUGUUCGGGUCCAAGUUUGACAAGUCAUGUUUCUAAACUACACAUCCCUUCCAUAUAUUAACUAUUUAAUUAACGACCCACAUUGCACAUUACUUCUGAUGAUUUUGUAUCUCCAAAAUGCCAUUAGCAUCUUCUCAAUCUCAUUUGAAGGCAUUCACAUCCUCACAGUGAAAAAAUGAAAUCUGGAACUUUCAACAGUUAUAGCUUGUGGUGUUUGAUUUAUUAAUAUGAUCUCCAAGUUUGUUCCACGGAGAUUGGAGUGAGAAGAUGGGGUUUCGAAGGAUAUUUAACAUUAAUAUUUUAAAAAAUACAAAAAUAAUAAAAAAGUAUGACGAAAUAUCGAGUAUAAAUUUGAAUAAUAUAUAAUAAAUUCUCAUGUAAUUUACAGUUAUAUAUGGUUAUUACUGUGAAUUAUAAGAGAUGUGUAAGAUACUUUGCAAAGUUUAAAAAGAUAGUUUUUUCAUCAGAUAAAGAAAAAAAAAGGAUACAGUGCGGUAGAGUAUGUAUAAAAAUAAUAAGAAAACAAAUUAUGUACCUUUAGAAACGCUCUUAAGUUUCCUGUUUAUUGUACGAAUUUCGUAAAUUUAAUGUUUAUAGUAAUAAGUUUUUAAUUAAUAAUUAAAAAAAUUAAUGCACCCUUUAAUUAAUAAUUUUAAUAAAAUAAAAUAUUUAAAAAUAAUUGAAUUUAUAAAAAUAAAAUAAAAGCUGUUGUAAAAUAAAUUAGAAGUUAAUAAAUUUUUUAAACAAGUAAAAAAUAAUAGUUGGAUAUUAUAUUAAUGCCUUUUUUAUAUUUUAUAUCUUAUGUAUCUAACAUAACACUUUUUUAUUUCUUUAAAAUUAACGCAAUUUUGAUUACUACUUUGAACAAAUUAAUAAAAACAAUUGUAAAAAAAAGCAUACUUUAAAUUUAGACAGGAAUAAAAAAAGUGAUGUAUGUGUAAAAUAAAAUAAUUGAAAAUUAAAACAGAUGAAAUAAUAAUUGUACUCCAAUCAUAAAAGUUUGGGUUCAUAUCAAUCAAGUAAACAGAAGGAUGAUUUUUUUUUUAAUUAUUUUUUUUUUAUAAUUUUUUCUUUAUAUAUUUCUGAAAGCUUUAAAAUGAUUGAUUUUAUUCUAAAUAGCAAAUUUCAGUUUUGAUUUCUGUACAAAAAUUCCAAAAAUUUAAAAUCAUUAUUUUCAUCUCUAAAGUUUAUUAGAAAAUACAUAAAUUUUUUUAAAAAAAUAUUAAUUUAACAACUGCAAGUUGAGAUUCACCAAUUUACAACUGCAUUCAAUACAAUUUAAAAAUGUAAAAAAUUAUUUUCUUUCUAAUUAUAUUCUGGUGUAUAGUUUUCAAUAUAUAAAAAAUAUAAUCAAAUAUCAACAAAUGUUAAAAUUUUGAUUACCACCUCCAAAAUAUUGUCGGCUUUGGAGAUUGAUGUUUAGGUCUUAACCUUAAAUGACAUGUCAGUUGAUGAGUUGGAAGAAGAAGAAAUAUAUAAAUUGUCAUUAGUCUCAACUCCUAAACCAUGUGGACCUAUGAAGCACACACAUUGAUACGGACACUAAUACAAUAUGGACAGACACGAAGAUACAUAUAAUCUCUAAAAUGUAGGACACGUGGACGCAAAUUUAUAUAUUAUAUAAUUAUGAAUUAUAUAAAUUGGCAAUAAAGAUUUAUGUGCUCAAGUAUGUUUCAAAUUUCUUUUAGAGCAUAAAGAUGUUUUUCAUGACAUGUUCAAAAAUAUCAUAAUAAAAAUUUAUAUAAUAAAUUUGAGUUUUUAGAAAAUUAAUGUAUUUUUUUUUUAAAAUUGUGUUAGAAUCGUGCUAGAAUUGUCAGAAAUUCAAUAAAUAUUUUUUGAAUUAUACUUUUUACCGAUACGUGUUCUACAAGUACCUUACGAGUGUCCGUGUCCGAUACGUGAGUCCGACACGGACACACUAUUUAAGAGGAGUGUCCGAACCUCAUAAAUCUGGACUAUAUUAGCGGUACAAAAAAAAUUAUAAAUUAUAUUUGGCUAAUGUUGUAUUCAUUAAAAACACAAUUAAACGUUAAUAUUAGACAACAAUAUUGGAUGAAUAGUAUUUAACAAAGUAUCCAAGAAAAAGGGAUGGUUGUUUUAGUUAGUGGUGUUGCGUGAAUGGCGUGCAUGGCUUGCACCUCCUACAAAUGCAGAGGAAGGCCAAGGCGUGCAAACUGUGCACGUACUCGGGAGAGGCUCCGACGAACGUACGCCCCAUCACUGAAGGGGUGAAGAAGGAGGAAGAGACAAUGUCUGAUCUAUUCGCUUGGCUCAUCUCCUUCUUCCUCCUUAUUAUCUUGCUUAUCCUCGUCACUUAUCAGGUUUUUUUCUUCUCCAUCAAUAUCAUUAUCAUCUUCAUCUUCUAAGUUCCGUUGAAUGUUAUCAUAUCAAAAAACAAGUUAUAUAUAUACGAUGCUGUUUGGUCUGUUUCACGGUGAUGUGAUGUCUUGUUUCACGUUUGUUGCAGCUAAUGUGCCUCGCAGACCUAGAGUUCGAUUAUAUAAAUCCUUAUGACUUAUCUGCUCGAAUAAAUAAGGUGGUUUUGCCUGAGUUUGUGACGCAAGCUGUCCAAUGCUUCUUCUACCUUGUUACUAGGCAUUGGAUAAUGGCACUCCUUUGUGCUCCUUAUCUUUUACACAACAUCCGAAUGUAAGUUUCUACAACUAAUCUUUGCUACUUUCUUGUUUCUUGAUGAUACACAAUCACAAAUUCUACAAAUGUUCCGGUCUUCAGUUUGAGAGUGAGAACAACGCUCGAGUUUGAACUUUGAGAAUUUCUAUGCUCAACAUUGAAACAAACACACGCUACGAAAACUAAUUAUUCCAUUCCUUGAAAACCUUAUAGAAGGGAAAAAUAUGUACUUUUUUUAUCCGUUAAGAAACAAUAAAAUUAUAUAGAUCCAUUUAAGAAGUGUUAUAACUCUUAUUCAGAGUAAAAAAAAAUAUCUUUCUAUAUACACAACAGAAAAAAAAAUAAAAAUUCUUACGGUCUAUUCCAACACAACCAGCUAAAAAAAAAUAAAAAAUCAAGGAUCGAUAUUAAAUCAAAUGCAUACAUAUUAAUGGUUCUAGAUACUAGAUAAAGUUAAAGAAUAGACUUAAUUACACUUUGGGUCUUUUGGAGGAUGAAUUUAAUUAGACUGUGGGUGUUUGGAGAUAUUUUACGUUUUAGAGAGUCUAGGAAUGUUUAGAGAGCUGAAACAAACCAAGUAAAAAGUUCUCACAUUCAGUUAAAUUUUCUUUUAUGUCCUGAUUUGUGUUCGUUUACAUAUGCAACAUAUAUAUAUAGCCAGUAUUUCCCCCCUAUUUGGUUUGGUUGUAUGGAGCUGAUGGUCAAACCAAACAAUAUAUACACACCAGCUUAUACACGUAAAAUUCUUCUGUUUAUUUCUCUACCAGCUGGAACCUUGGAAAGUUUGGCAUGUAGAUAGUUGCAUACUAGUUAGAGGAUUAAAGGAGAUGAAUUGAAAUUUUAAUGUACUGAAAUGUGGAUAUUGAUUGCUUAUUGUAAUCCUUUAAUCAGGUAUAGACAAAGAAGGCAUUUGAUUGAUGUAACUGAGAUAUUCACCCUUCUCCCUUGGGAAAAGAAGCAACGGCUUGCCAAAUUCUUCUACCUUGUUUUUACCCUUUUCCUCUCUGUAUUUUGGUAAUGUUAAUUUCAAAAAGGCUUAUUUGUUGUCUUUUCAUUUUAUAGAUUUUAAGAAAAUGGAUGUUUUAAUUCAUAAUUGCUUGUUGCAGGAUGAUUUACACAUCACUGGAUAAGCAAUUGUAGUGGAUUGGUUGUAUUGUGGCCUGCUGUAAACUCCCAGAAAUGUGUGGCAGAGAAGAGUUAAUUACUUGUGAUACUGUUAUCAUGAAAUUUAGAGGUGAGUUGCUGGGUUGUGUUGUUGUUUAUACUUGUAAAAAGUGAUAAAGAAUAAUAUUUUGCUUGUGUUUUUUAGGAGGGGAAAUUCAUGGGAGAUUUGUUUUGAAGGAAGAUUGAAUCGGCAUCCACAUUACAACUUAUGUUUAGAAUCAGAACAGAAGUAUAUUGAUUCUUAGAACCUACUGGAAUAGAGGAAUGUUGAGUUAUGAGAAUGUUGUAUACAAGAGUCUAAUGGAGGUGUUAGCUAUAAGUGUUAUACAUAAGUGAGAUAUGUUGAAAACCUGUAAUGAAAGUAUAUUUUUGAUGAAAUAUGGACUUCAAGUAAAAAAAAAAUAGAACAAAUUACAAUUAUAAAUUAUUACUUUCUUGUUGUAAAAUAACAUUUUUCUAUAUGUAAUUAAAGAAAAGAAAAAGAUAUUUUUGACACCAUUAUUUUCAAUUGACAUCCUUAUAACAAGUGUAAAUAAUAAUAAUAAUAAUAUAUUAAAUUGAGUAAUUUAAAUAAAAUAGAAAUUAUGUUAUUAAAUAUAAAAUAAUAAAAUGAGUUGUAGGGCUCAGAUUGAAAAUUUUUGGAAGUGUCAACUAUAAUGGUCCUUCAUCAAUAAUUUUUCACUUUAUCCUCUCAUAUUAAAAACCACAAAGUUUGACCACCACAAAUUUGAUAAUAAUUUAAUAAAUUCAUAUUUUAAUUAUAUUUAUUUUUUUCAGUUUAAAUUAAAUAAUAAAGCUUGUUUGAUAUUGUAUACACAUCAAAAUAACUAUUUUACAAUUAUUUUUUAAAAUAAUUAUUAUAUCAUAAUAAAAUAAUAAUUUAUUUAGAUAUAAAAUUAAUGUAAUCGAUAUCAUGUAACAUUAUUAUUAAACGGAAAUUUAAAAUGAGAAGCUAUGAUUCUUUCAGAUCAUAUAUAAAAACAAAUAAUGUUCCUUUACAUCUAUUUUAAUAAUAUAAUAUAUAUUGAUAAUUUAUAGAAACAUAUAAUUAAAAUAAUAAUAUAAUAAGCUGUAAGGGGAGUAUUUUUCUUGAACGGUUUUCAAGGAGUGGUACUCUAAAAAUAAUAAUUUGACACUCUAAAAGAAAAUUACACCCACUUAAUAACUAUUUUAACAAUACAAUAAAAACAACAAGGUUCCUGUACCAUAUUACUGCACACAAUUCAAGUGGAAAAGACAAAAAUAAUUUUAAUGUAUUAUUUUUUUUAUUGCAGAUUUUCUUAUUAAAAAUGGAUUUUUGAUUUUUUUUCCAGAAUUUUAUUUCAAGAGAACAUAAAAUGUUCUUUCAGAUUUAUUUUUCCAAAAUAUAUUAUUUUAAAUUUUAAAUUUUCAUAUCUGAAAUAAAAGUAUUUUAGGAAUUUUGAAAUUAUGCUGUUGAAAAAUAUUGGAUGUAGGAAGAAUUUGGCAAACAACAAUAUAAUAAGAACAUGCAUUACUAUUUUAAGUUAAAAAAAUAUAAUUAAAAUAUUAAUAUUAUAAGUUGUAUAAUGAAUGUAUUUUAUUUUUGAAAGGUGUAAAAGUAUCACCCCUCCAACUUUAAGUUAUAAUUCUUGCUGUUUUGUUAAGUUCACUCCUACCCUUUUUUUUACAUUUUUUAGAACACAUUUCACAAAAUAUACCCGAAAACUUAUUUUACUGAAUCAGAGAUUUCAUUAAUUUCUUUUUGUAAAAAAAUUAAUUAAACAUAAAUACAAGUUUCUGUUGUGUAUUUCAAACACAACGAAAUUUUAUUUUUGUUGUGUAUUAAAAAUAUUAAUAAAAAAUCAUUAAAUAUAAAUUAAUUUUAAAUAAAAAAUAAUUAAUUAUUAUUAAAUUAAAUAUUAUUUUAUAUAUUAAAAUAUUAUUAAUAUUUAAAAUAAUUUAUAUAAUUAAUAAAUAAUUUUUAAAUUAUAUUUAAUUAAUUAUUAAAAUUUUAAUUAUUAACUAUUCUUACUUAAUAAAGAUCCAACUCCGACCAUGCCGUAAUUAGUUGUUAAACACCCUUUGAAAUUAUAAAUAAAUAAAAUAAAAUAAAAAAAUGUAAAUUUCCAACUUUCCUCAAACGAGACAAUUCCAUCCACUUUCGAAGCAAAGCAAUUAAAUUUAGGUGAGCCAGAAAAGCCAAAACUACGCAAAAGGCAUCUCUGGAUUCUUAAACACAUUUUUUUAGCGUUGAAAUCACGAAUUGAAUAUAUUUUUAGAUGUUUCUGAAAGUCUUUUUAUUAGUUUUUGUAAAGAAUGUAUUCAUUAUUAGUUCUUGUACUUUAAAAACAAUAUAAUUUAAGUUUGUCCUUUGAAACUUUAACUUAAAUAAUUUUUAAAGAAUAAAAACGAAUAACCCUAUGUAAAAAAUAUCAUAUUUUUCAAAUUCUAAUUUUGUGUUGGACUGAUAGGAAAGAAAUACAGAAAAAAAAUGUAAUAAAGAAGAAGAAACGAAUAUGGUUUCGUUAAAAUUAUAGAUGAAAAAGAAAAUGAAAAUGAAUUUUUUUUAUUAAAAAAUAAAAAAUAAAACAACCAUAAAAAUGAAGUAUAGUAUUGACAAACUAAAAUAAUAAUCACGUGUCUUUAUUUUAAUAUAAUGUUUUUAUUUUUUAUAAUACGAAGGUUGGAUUGACAAUAUAAUUUUUUAUAAUUUUUAAAUUCAUUCUUUUUAUUUUAUAUAUAUAUAUAUAUAUAUAUAUUUCAUUAGUAAAAAUAAAGAUCAAUUAGAUUGCAUGUUAUUUUCUUCUUUUUCGAUCGACUAAUCAUCUUCCUUCCUUCGUUUCGUUUAACCAUUUAACUUCACCUUGGAUUACUUUUGCUACUUCUCAUCUACAGCUUAUCUCCUUCGAAUGUUCUCGGUUGAGAUGAUACCAUAAAAAAUUUCCAACGAUUAAAUAAAUAUUUGGUAUUCGGUGUUCGAUGUAAUUAAUACGCGACAAUAAUAUACAUUUUCUCAAAACCUGUGACUAUUUAUAUAAUUAUUAUAGAUCCAUUAUUAUUGAGCCGAAUUCACGUUUAAACCAUAAUUAAAAACACAAAUACUAAAACCACAUGUACCCGGUACCUACUGGUAUAAUAUUUAAUUCCAAGAUACUCUUCCUCACAGGUUGGAGUAAAAUUAAUGAAAUUUCAGGUGCAUCCUGAUUUUAUUUCCCCAACAGAUGUUUAGUACAUUAUUUUUAUACCUUUUAUGAUUACAAAAAUGUUUUGAAAUACAAAUCCAUUCAUCAAGUCCAAGGAAUUUCUGUUUCCUUUGAAUAUGUUAGUGUUCAUUGUUAAUCUCAUUUGAAAACGUGUUGGCUUUGCACUUGCAUGAGCAGGCGCAUAUCGGUUAAAGAUUCUUUACAGAAGCAGCCAAUAAUGAUCUUUUGUAGAAACAAUGCAAUGAAAGACAAGGCAGUGUGCAACUUGGAUCGUAACGUUUAACGAACAAACAUUGUUGGUUAGCUGAAAAUGUGAGCCUAAUUUAUUCGUGCAACUUGGUGAGUUGUCAUUAUCGUUUUAUCAGAUUAUCAGGUCAUUCAUAUGAAAAGGAAAACAACAUCUGUUCUUAAUAAAAAACACUGACAUCAUUUUCUUCUCCUUUCUAACUGUUAUUUCCUUGGCUUUCUAUCAUUGUUCAUACUCCAAACAUAUGCUUUCUGCAAAUGUAACGACACAAAAAGGGUCAGGUGGCUAACUUGCUGCUAUAAAAAUUACUAUAAAAAGUUUUCUAUAAUAUAGUGUGUGUGUGUGUGUUUGUUCUUAGCUAUAUAAUUUUACUUCAGGGUAUAUGUGCAGGGUAUGUUGUCUGUUGUGGUAUUUUACUGUUUUUAUGGUUACUUUCAAAGUAUUUAGGAAAUUUUAAAUAAUUAUAUUUUCAAUUUUCUCAUUAUUUUUUGUUUAUUUUUUCAUGGUAAUCUCGAGAUAAUGCAAACUUAGGGUUAGUUUGAAUUAAUUAAAGAAAAGCAUCAGGAAAUUAAAAAAAUAAAGUUAUAGAUUAUAUACCAAGAUUCAGGAUAAAGGCUAAUAUGUUAAUGUAAUAGAACACUUUGUUUAAUUUUUUUUUUGUAAACAAUUGAAAUACUAUCAAGUUAUUAUUAUUAUUUUCUUAAUUUAUUGAUUCUUUGUGCUGAUUAAAAAAUAUGCAAAGUUUCUACAAGAUGAAAUUUUAAAAUGCCCACUUGUUUUAUUUUAUGAAAAAUGAUAGAUAGAGUGUUGGUGUGUUUUUAAUUAUGUUUCUUAUUAUUUCUCACAACUUUUUAGUUUUUCAAUUUUUGUUAUUAUUUAUAAGAACAUAUAUCCGAAAAAACAAAUACAAAAUCUCUCUUCCUUGUUUGUUAUUUUUUUUUUAUCGGGAACUUGUUUGUUACUCUCUUGUUCAGACAUUUUAUCUAUUGCAAUGCAGUUCUUGUUUUAUAAAAAUAUAUAGUCAAAUUUGAAUUAAGCCUAUAAUUUAACUCAGUUUGUCUCACUUAUAUGUUUGAAUCAAACAUGUGGAUUGUGUUAUACCUUACCUCUUUGUAUAAAAGACAACAGAGUCAUUGCUAAUUAAGAAACUCUUAUAUUAUGCAGAGUGAAUAAAACUUGUUUUAUUUAUUUAUUUUUAGUCACUGAUUUUUUUUUUCUGCUUUCUUUCCAACUUAUCAUAAAACAAAGGUAAACAAAUCCUUAAAAUAUUAUGUGGAGGUUCUUGUUGGCAUUUCAUUUGUUUCUUUCCUUUGUCCUUUUUUGUUUGUUUACUUUUUGUCCUAUUUUUUAAUAAUCAACAUUUCGUUUGUUUAUAUUUUCGUCUUCGUCACUGAUUCACACUUGAGAUGACGCAUCAAUUCAUUGGUUUUGGCUUGAUAUAUGUCUUACAUAUUAACCGAUCCGUAAUGAACAAGAAUUAAGACAAUAAUUAUUUAAAGAUUUUUACAACUUUUUAAGUUAUAAUAGUUUGGUUUAUUUAGGUAAAAGAAAUAGUUCUGUUUAUCAAUUUGAUGUUUGACGUACUAUCAGUUUUAUGAAAAAAAAAAUAAAGAAUUUUUAUAUCAUUAUACGUUAUAAAUUAUCGUGUAAAAUGAUUAUUGACUUCUACAAUUAUAUCAUUGAUGAUUUUUGCUGUAAAAUAAAUUCACUAAUAUAAUCUUAAUAUAGUUGUUACAAAGUGGACUUUAAGCCUAACUCAAUCCCAUAAAACCGGCUCAUAAGGUUGAGGUUUGCACCCACUUGUAUAUAAUGAAAGGCUUUAAUCUCUAGUCGAUGUGGGAUCUCCAACAAUAGUAAUAUCAUUAUUGUGGUAUAGGAUUUAAUUAGAAAAGAAAAACUACUAAGAUUACUUAGCAACAAGCUAUGUCAUCAAAGUAAGUGGUCAUGUCAUUAGAUUUAUUCGUGUCGUACUACAUCUUUCCAGUGCUCUGAAUCUGAUUUGUGAUAAAUGUUAGUGUAGAUGAACAUACAAAAUGUUGAUGUCUUGGAUAGCUGUUAUGACUUCCUAAGAGCUCAACCUAAUAUCGUAAAGCAACUAUUUGGCAUGUCCCCCGAUAGACGAAUGAGAAAGUUGGUGAAGAUAAUGAUUGAGUCUCCUUGAACCUACAUUUUUCUUGUAUUUAGUUAUGCAUAGUUAUUUUUUUUAUUGGAUAUGUAAUUUUAUUUAUAACACAAAUUGACACUUGCUUUUAAUUUAAAUAUAAUAUAUUUCAAUCUAUAUGACGGUUUGCAACUAUUUAUUUAUUUAUUUUUUGGUUGUUAUCAUCAAAUUGUAUGCAACUGUUCACUUAUUGUAUCCAAAAAAAUUCAGUAAGUUUUGUAGGAAUGAUGUCUUCAUCUUCUAAGAGACAACAUAGUUGUCAAGAGGGUAAGGAAAAAGCUCAUGCAGAUGAUUAAGUUCCUUCUGCACGAGUCCCUGAUAUUGAGGACAUUUUUAAUCAAUUACAAUUUUUUACCGAGUGAGAGAAAAUGUUGGAGUAUGGCAGGUGAUUUUAUAAUAGAUCGAUCAUGAUCCCUAAAGUAAUGAAUUUUGUCUUCUUUCAGGCAACAUGAUUUGAGUCUAACCAUCCUUUGGAACAUCAAGAAUUGAAACAGCUUUGAUGUUUUGAGGAUAUGAUGAGAGUGUUUUACACAAAUCUUAGGAUUAUAGACGAUGGUAUCCCCUAUUCCAAGGUGAACCAAAAGCGAAUUAUUGGUGGCCUUCCCUAUUCCAAGGUGAACCAAAAGCGAAUUAUUGGUGGCCUUCCAAAUUGGUUGGCGUUAACUAAGUUGAAGUUCAAGGGACUAAAAGUGAAUGUUGCAAAGGCCUUAUGAUGAUCUAAACUACAAUUAUGAUAUGGCAUUGGCAGUCAUUAUGGGCAAGGGAUGCAAGGUCUUAAUGUCAAGAUUGUAGGUAGUCUAUCAGUGGAUGACACAUCUUGAGUCUACGAUGAAGUAAUUAUUCUCAAUUGUUGCAUGAAGACAUUUUCAUGUUAUGGGAAAUCAAAAUAAUAUUGUGAUUAACUGACCCCAUUAUAUAAUGGCAUAAAUAUCGAGACCACAACAUGCAUCUUCCCCAUGCUGUCACACGGAUCAUGAAUGUGUGCAAAGUUGAUUUAUCUCUAGAACAAGUCUCGAGCUCGGGUGGUCCCACUUCUUUGCGAAAAAAAUACUGAAGAAGUUAAAUAUCCAUCAGGUAUAUGGUGUGUGGCAAUAUGAGACAGAUCAAUGGGAGGAUGAGGAAGAUGACGCCCGAACGAGGAUGUUCAUGGCAGUGCACCUCAAUCCCCAAUCCAGGAUCACUCUAAAAUUAUACCACAAAUUUUGAGUAGAAUUUAAGAGUUGCAGGAAUCAAUCAGAACCAUAAACCUCAACAUCAACUCUCGUUUCAACAAGGUCAUGACAGGAUUGAACACUUGUAACAACAACUUUAUGAGGAGUCUUUUGAAUGAUACAUAUUUUUCUAUAUUAUUGUUAUUAUUUUUUGGAACAUGAUUAUAAUUUCAUAUUCUUUAUAUAUAUAUAUAUUUAAUAUACUAUGUUUAAUAUUUAUUAUGGCCAUAUUUUAUCUAUGAAUUUUGCUUCAACAUAAACAAAUUUCCUACAUUUCAAAUUGUUCACAAGCAUCUUUUUUUCCUUUACACACCUAUAAUUUUUUUAAUUGAAUCAAAUAUAGUUUCUCAAAAUCAUAAAUAUGUUCUGAAUAUUUGACAUAAGUAUUUUUUCUCAAGUUAGUUCUAACACUCUACCAAAAAUAAUUCUACUCCUUUAACUACAAACCACUAUAAUUCAUAAAUAAAUAAUUCACAAUUAUAUUUUUUUUUAAAGUGAAGCAAAUUAAGUUUCUAACAAUUAUAAAUAUGUUACAAAUAUUUUACAUAAUUUAUAUUUUUUUCAAAAUUAACUCUAAGAGAGUAUUGGAAAUAAUGUUUGAAUUACAAAGUCUAUAAUUCACAAAUAUAAUAAAUCAAAUUCAUUUUACAAUAAUUUUAUAUAAAAAAUAAAUAAAUUAUAAUCUUAUAUUUUUUAUUUAAAAAAAAAUUAUAAUUUUACUUAUGGUCUACGACAUCAAUUACAAACUUUCAUAAUUUUUUUCAUUUUUUAUAUAUUUUUUUAAAAAUUAUUUUAAAUUCAUUCCUUCAAAUUUAUUUUCAAAUUCAAACAAAUAUAAGAUUGAGUGUGGUGAGACUUGAUUAGAAGAGGUGAAAGAAAAGAAGAGAAGGCAUGUGAAAAUUGGGCAAACAAACAAAAUCAGCUCACCUACAACAGCGGCAACAACUACGGCACUUUGCCUCCUUGUUACCUUUUCCACAUGCUUUCCUUUUCACUCACCUCAUUCAUCCACUCUUAUGGAACUCAAUAUUUUGGUCUUUCAAGAGAAAUUCAAUCUUCAAAUACAAACCAAGUUAGAGGUUAGGUCAAGCUUUUCUCCAGAUUUCUGACACAUUAUAUCUUAAAUAGUUUAAUAUAUAUUUAUAUCGUGAUUUGAUGGGUCAUUAUAAUGUUGUUAAGGAAUUUAACGGAUGAUUUACACGGGUGUGUCUCUGUCAAACUCCUGUGUCGGCUUUUCUAAAUUUGAAUCAUGAGAUUAAGUCUUUGUUUGUCUUCAAAGUUAAUCAAAAUUCAAUUAAAGUCCUAAUAUUAAGUAUCUUCCACUCUGCGACAUGAAUACUUUUAAAAGCAAUCGAGAAUGAAUUAACCAAGCGUGACUUCAUAAAAAAAAAAAAUACUUUUAAUUUGAACUUAAUUGACAUUUUAAAAUAUUCAGAAUAUUUAAUUAUUUAUAAUUUUUUCGUUAACUAAUAUUCUCAUUUUGAUUUAAUGACAUUUCAAUUAACGAUACAUCAAUACUCCUUUUCAUUAUUUAACAAAAUUUUAUUCCGAUAAGUAUAUUUGCCUAACUCUUCUUUCAAUAGAUAAGGAUAUUACAAUAAGUAUAUUUGCCUAACUCUACUUAAACCAUCGAACAUAAAAACAGAGAACAAAUUAUAUGUCUUUUAUUUUUUAUUUUACAUUUUUUAAGAGAUAGCAAAUAAAUAUAAAAAAAAUUCAAUUAGUGAGAAAGGCGAAAAGAAGGGAGAGUUGAAUUUAAAAAUAGUAAACCACUAGAAUUAAUAGUGAUAAGAAUGGGGAAAAGUGGAUAUGUACACAUGAGCUUAGUGCUAAGGGAACAAUGAACCCAAUUUGUUCUGUAUCUACCUAAACUUGUGCCCCUGCCACCAGGAAUCCAAUUCUAUAUUCUUCUCUUGCAUUCACAACCUUCAAACACCUUUCCGCAAUAACCAAAAUCUGUUCUAAUUAAAAGGAGCAUUUAAAAUGGUGGCCACCCCAAUCCGCCAUAGCUGUACACAUCUAACUAUCCGUUUCCACCUACCAAACCCAACCCAACUCUCAACCAACUAAAAACAACCGCUAUCACCAAAUUCUACCUUUCAACUUUUUCUGCACACAACCCAAUUCUGAAGCAAAGAAUAAUAUGCUACAAAAAUAUGCAUAGAAAACCUCACCCUCUGUGUUCUAGCCUAACUCAGGAACAGGAUUUGAUUAAUCCCAAAUUGUAUAGAUUUCUUCUCACAAGACUCCCUAUGGACAACAACACUGCCCCACCAAUUCCAACCGCUUCAUCCUCUCUCUGUAUCUCCUGAUGGUUUAUCAACGGCAAUUCCUUCACUUCUAAAUUGCUUAACCCAAUUUUCUGCCUAACAGAUUCGAUAAUUUUUGAAUCAGCUGGAUUUCCAACCGCAUCCGUCACAUAGAAUAUAUUUGUAGCCAUGUUCCCUACAGUGGAUAUCUCAGCCCUGGUCACAUUCAGCCCAUUCUCGCGGAAAGUUCUCAUUACUUCUGCUAGAAGCCCCUGCCUGUCUUCUUUGCAUAACUCUAGUCGAACACCCUAUAAUCAAAUAAUUUAAAAUUAAUUCAUCUUCAACACUUUAUGUCAAAAGGUAAUAACAAUACAAACGCCAGAGGAAUGAAGUCUAUACCUCAGAUGCCCUUCUCUCUACAGCAGCUUUUAAGCAUUGAAUUACGCGUUGACGCUCUGGUUCUGAGCUAAUUGGAGUGCCAUCUUUGUGUCUUAUGUAAAACUCCUGAAGUGAAGAUAAGAACAAACUUAAGUAACAUAAAUUAAGCAAGGGGAAAAAAACUAGUUUUCAGGGAAGGAUGUAGAAUAAUUACCAAGUAUGCUCGGUCAUCAUUUGUGUUAAUAGUUGCAUGAAAUACAUCAUAUUCCAUGUCUGUCAAAUUGGAUACAACAUCGAAUAAAAGCUUGGUUCGAUCUUUGCACUGAACAUUCACGACUGAAUAGCCCCUUCCUGCCCAAUUCUGAACCGUCACCACUGGGCUAUCAGAAGUAACCUCAAGAAUGGGAGUCCUCUCAUAAUCACGGUCCGUGAACAUCAUUUGAUGUAGCCUUCUUUCAGUGUGCAUCGCAGCCAUAGAAACAGAAAUUUUUGCACUUCUGAUGUCAUUGUCUCCCUUCAAAACAUUUCUUAAGCGCAGUUCAAUCUUAUUAAAUUUCUGAGAGUCCUCAAUAGCAGACCCAGAACUAGAGUCUUUCACAUAAAUUAAGGAAGCAAUACGCCCAUUGUGAGUCCAAACCUUGGCCUCAACCACAUCACAUUGAAGAUCAGCCAGUACGGCAAACACCUCCGAUAAAAGACCAACUCGGUCAGUUCCUGUCAAUUCCAGCGCAGUGAGACCAUUAGAACUGUUGGUUCUCCCAUAGUGAAUGCUCCCAAGUGACUGUCAAGAGAAAAAUCAGAUUAGAUACACAAUAAACACUAUAUAUAAACAAUAAAUUCUAUCAGGUAACAUCGAAAUUGUAACUCAUUUAGUAGUUGUAAAGACCAUUAAAUACCUGCUCAAUAUAUUUUAAAACGCUUUCGUCCGUUAUCUUGUUUCCGUUUUGAUCAGUGACAUGAAAAACUGUCCAUUGAAUAGGCAAAAUAUAUUAGUACAUAACGCAUUAACCCAUCUCACGAGAAGAAACCGGAACCAAACCAGUGAUUAGAAAGGGAAAUGUCAAUUAGCUUACCAUCCAUACACCACUUGCCAUCAGCAGAAAUAUAGGCUUUCUUUAUAGAAAGAUCCAGGUCAGUGAGCACCUGUACAGCAUCCAAUAAAAUACCAUGUCUUCUAGCGCUGUCAACCUGUGAAAUUCAUUGAAAAAAGACUACUGUUACUUAAUUAUUCUUUCUUUACAUGAAAUCAAAAUAUUUUUGGAACAAUUAGUUCCCAUAUGCGCAAGAGUUUCUUUGGGAGGUUACCUUGACUAGAGUAGCUGAAGAGAACACGGAAUUGUCAAUAACAACCCUGUUUCAGAAAAAAAUUCAAAGUUAGCAAAAUUGAUCUGUCCCCUGAUUUCUCUUCCAAACAUCAAGAUACAAAGAAUGCACUAAAGGAAACAGCGACCUUUCACAAGAGCAGGAGGCCAUACGCAAUGAGAAAAGUCAAAAAAACUGUUAAAAUAUUAGCAGCUGACAAAUCAAAUUCAAAAGUCGGUGUGACUUUUGAAACAAAUAGAUAUCCUUUGAAAUAUAAGAUGCAAGAAGGAGCAAAUGCAAGGUCAUAGACACGAAACAUUCUUGUCUGCCAAAAAGGGAUUUCGCUGGAAAAAAAAAAAAAAACAGCACCUAUUUUCGAAUUAUCAGGGAACGAGUUGCUACCAGUCCAAGUAACAAAAAAUCAUGGCUCAAUGAUAAUUUUUUUUGCAGAAAAUCAUAUGGUGUAUCCAUAAAACAACACAAAAACAAGAAUAAACAGAAUGAUAGCCUAAGAUUACACAAAAUCAGGUACGAAACUUAUAGAUCGAUGCAACACAUAGAGAAUUACAAACUAAAGUCAGUCUCAACUAAAAGAAACAAAGAGACAACAAAUGAAAAGAGGUAUAACAAACCUGGGAGUGCUCAUCCGUAUUACAAGUUUUUCGUAUUCGUCCGUGCACGCAGGCCAUUCCAUUUUCCUUUUGCAGUUCUUCAAAUGAGAGAAGAAAGAUUCGUGUAUUUGUUUGAGAAUAGAGAAAUCUGAGGUUCGCACAGCAAGAGUCUUCUUUUCCUUUUUUCUUCUUCUUCUUCCCUUAACCGUGUGCAACAAACAGUGGCUCUCUUUCUCUCUCUCUUUCUAUCUAUCUCCGUGUUCACAUAGAACACCCUUAUAUAUAUAUAGCACCCUUUUAUCUUCAGGAAUAUUUUAUUAAUAUUGUGUAUUUAAUUUAAAAUAUUUAGUAUAGGGUAACCCUAGCAUGUCUAUACACAGGGAAAAUAGCACACACAGCACUGUCACAUGGCGUGACUAGCGCGUGGGCGCUGACCGAGCUUUCUAAUUUCGUUGCUCUGUUUCAAGUCACACCCCAUAAUUUUGUUAAAUCCUUUAACUAGCACUUUAAUUUUGAUUAAACAAAGAUGACACCUGUCUUUUUGGACCAAUCAGCGUGACUCGCAAUCCAGCAUGGAAAACACGUGGGAUCCCACGUGUCGAUUUGCUUGUUCUUUACUCAACAGGUAGGAACAUAUUAGGAGAGGGUGGAGCCACGUGGUGGAAUUUAGUUCAAAAUUAAACUGAGUAAACUUGGUAAUUAAGGUGAGAUUUGACGACAUCAAUGAUGACGUCUACACGUGAUAACAUACACUCUUUUUUGCCUUUUUUUUUUAUAUUCACUUUUUUCUAUUACUACUUAAAUCUUUUUAUUAUUACUAUUUUCUUGAUAUUCACCUUUGCUUAUUCUCGUUUUUUAUUUUAAUCAAUACGAUAAAUACAGAACUAAUUUGAUAAAUCAUAAAAUUAAUCUUUUAAAAAAAAAAUAUAUUUUUAAAAUAUAAAAAUAUGAUAAAACAAUUAAAAUUUAUAAAAUCAUAGAUAUUGUAAUAAUUUUAUGGUAAACUUUCUUUCUUUCUAUUAAUUAAGAAUCAUUGUAACUUAUUUGCUGGCCUCUGAUUAAGAAAAUCCUGAAUGUGUCAAAAAAAUAUUGAUAAAAUAGAUAAUGAAGUGAUUUUAACAGUAAUUAACUUUAAAUGAUAAUAAAUAUAUUUUUAUUUAUUAUUAUAAUAAGUUUUUCUUUGAUACUAGAAAAACUCAAACAGAAUAUUAAUAUGUAUUUAAAUUUACAACAUUAAAAGGUAAUAUUGUUGUAUAAUCAAUACAUUGGUAAGACUGCAAUAAGUUAUUAUUGUUUUGGAAGUUUUAGUGUAGUGAAUUUAAUUUGUAUCUUCCCAUUUCUGUUAUUUCCUUUAACAUAUCUUCAAAAUUGAUAUUAAUUUAUUUAUCAUACAUUUAUUGUUUUUCCAGUUAUAUAUACUUGUGAGUAUUACACUUUUGGAAACAAUAUUCAAUAAUUAAAUCACUUAAACACAUGAAUAUUACACCUCUUGAGAACAAUAUUCAAUAAUUAAAUCACUUAAACACAUGAAUAUUACACCUUUUGAGAGCAAUAUUCAAUAAUUAAAUCACUUAAAUUCGGCAUUAAAACAUAAGAUGGUCCAAAGUUAUAUGUAAGAAAUAUAUUGUAAAUUUAUAACUAUAUUAUAUGUAAACCCUAAAGAUAAAACUAAUAAAUAUAACAAAAUAUAAUAUAUCAUGAAUAACAUUAUUUUAUACUAAUUUUCAAUUAAAGAUGAAAACUAAAUAAUAAUAUUUAAUUUAAAUAUUAUAUGUAAUUUUAACAUAUUAGAGUUGUAAUUUUAAGAAUAUAAAAUAUUUUUUCUUUGUUCAUCUGUAUUGAACAAAAAUGGUUUUACAAUAGUUUAAAAGUCAAAUUUAAAUAUUAAUGUAUAAAAGAUAAAUUAUAAGUGUCAAAGUAAAUUAUAAUUAUUUUUAUUAAAAAUAAGUUGUUAAGAAAACUAAACCAUUGAAUAAAAAAUUAUUUAUAUAAUUAUUUUACUUAUAUUAAAUAAUAAAUAUAUUAUUUGACUAAGUUAUAUAACUAGAAAGUUUAAUUAUCUAAAUUUAAAAUAGUAUUUGUUCGAUAAAUCAUAAAAAUAAAUAAAAAUUUAACAUAAUAAUAUGAAAUAAAAAAAAUAUCAAAUUACAUAAUUGUGCAAAAAAAAUCCAAUAAAUUAACUAUAAACAAUUAUAAAAACUAUUCGAAAAUAUCAUAUAUUACGAUUAAUAAAUAAAUUUGUAAAAGAUAAAAGCAAAACAUAAUCAUAUUAUAUUUGUAGAAAUUUAAAGAUAUAUUUAAUUUUAUUCUUAUAUUAUUUCNNNNNNNNNNNNNNNNNNNNNNNNNNNNNNNNNNNNNNNNNNNNNNNNNNNNNNNNNNNNNNNNNNNNNNNNNNNNNNNNNNNNNNNNNNNNNNNNNNNNUGUGUCGUGUAUAUAUAUAUAUAUAUAUAUAUAUAUAUAUAUGCACAUAUUAAAUUUGCAUAUUCUUUUAUUUAUCAUGCAUUUAUGUACUGUUAUUCGUUACAUUUUAUUUUCAAACGUCGGUUUUUUAUAUUAAAUUUGUUAAAUAAUUUGAUAAUAUGUCUAUGAAUAGUCUUAAACAAUAAAAUUCUGUUUUAUAACUACAAAUAUAACACUCUAUCUUACUGAUUGUUUAUAUUACUUCUAACCAGAGAGUAAAACAUGUAAGUUUAUAUAAUAAGAUUAAAAAACAUAAAAUUUUAAAAAAUAACACUUCUAAUUCUCUCCAAGUAAAAGUAUUAAGUAGAACAAUGUAAGAUUUUUUAUUUCAUUUAUUACAUUUUUUUAAUCUUUUUUAACGUCAAAUAUUUCUGUAUAAUAUAAAUUAUUUAAAAAAUAACAUAUUGAAAUUAUAAGUCAUAUCAAAUAUAUGAAAUAUAAUGUUAAUUAUUUAAUAAUUUAUUUAUAAAACUUAUUAUCUUUAUAAAAAAAAAAAUUCUUUUUAUUCUCCAGACUUUUCAUAACAAAUUCUUAUAAUUUUUUCAAUUAGAUAGUGUUCAUUAUGUUUAAAUUGAAGUUUAAAAUUUGAUAAAAAAAUGGUUACAUUUAAAUAGUUUAAAUUAUCUACCGUGUUACUAAUUAUCGUUUAAUAGAUUUCAUCCAAAAAGCUAAAUAUCUGAUAUUAACAUAUUUGAUGUUUGCAGAUCUGUCUAGAAAAUAGUGUAAAUGUUAAAAAAAUUCAACAUUUUUCAUUUUAGUUAAAUAUUGAAAAUAACAAAAUAUAAAACUAAAUAUUGGUAAAACACAAGCUUUGUCUAAAAUAAUAUAUCUUAAAAUAUGCAAGUACUUGUCUACAAGAUAAUAUAGUACUAUACAAUCUUGUUUUCACAUUCUCAAACAAUUCACACAAAAUUUUAAAUUAACAUCAUACCUCACGAAUAUUAUGAAUUAUGUUUAUUUUGUUACAUCAACGAUCUUUUGAAGUGCUAAAAUUGGUUUGCUUCACCAACUCCCUAGCGCUUGUUUUGUCAAUACUAAAAAUGAUUGUAUGUCAUUAUGAAUUUAUACUUUACAUAGUUUCAAAUUAAGAUUUUUUGGUCAAGACCUAAUAACCAACUAUUGGGACAUUGCUUGAAGAAUAUAAGUGCAUCUAAUGCAUGCAUUGAGCAUAACUAAUGCAUGCAUUGAACACAUCUAAUGCAUUUUUACGUCAUAUGCAAGGAAAAAAUUCAAGUAAGCCUAAAGCUUAUUUGACGUUCAUAAAAUAAUUUCCACCGACUAUUUUCUUUUGCACCUAUAUAAAGUCAUCUUUCAUGAAAAACAAGUAGAGUUUGAAUUGAAUAAGUGCCAAAUGGUUGUCAAAAUCUUUAUGAGUCCUAAAUAGUUUUAUAAGAACAUUGUUGUAUUCAUUUAACAACCUAGUAGAGAGUGCUUAAUCGUGUAAUCAUUGUGACCACACAGAACAAUUUUUUUAUUUUAUUUUGAGUGAAGAGUGACUUGUUGUUGAAAUAAUACUCAUAUCAGUCAUGAGUGGCUUGUUGUCAAACAAUACUCGUAUGGCUUAGAGGUAUUAUAAUCUGUAAGAAUACAUGCAGUAAUUGUCUGUUAGUUGAACUUAAACAAUUAUUUGAGAAUUGGAUGUAGUAUGGACUAUCAAACAAACAAUAUCUAACCAUAUUAAGUAAUUUAUUCAUUUCUAUCGUGGUAUAUUGUAUGUUAUAUCUAUUGUUUUUUUUUUAUCAGCAAUAAAAAAUCAAUAAAUGAGAACCACUUCAGGGGUGGUCCAACCCUUUUACAAACACACAUACAAUUUAACUCCUAACUCGACACCCAAAACCGCCGGUCAAAAGACCAACCAAACCAAGCGCUAACUAGCUUUACCGAAUCAGCCGUAUACAGGCCAAAGGAUCUAGAACCCAACAGGGAUAGGAAAAAUAAACUUCGCGGGACUUUGCAGCAAUCCAAGACCACACCUUUACUUGUGCUGAGGCAAAAACUUCUAACGCAUCUGCCACUCCUCCAUUAAAGACGACCGAGUUCCUAUGCUUCCAAAUUUCACUCACAAUUCCAACCCAAAUUGCCCCCCAAACAUCAUUAGACAGAUGCCUGACUCAACCUGAAUUGAAUAAAAUUUUGCAUUGGAUCCGAAUGGAUUACGAACGACACUCCAAGCCACUCAAAGCAAAGGCACCAUACCCUCCAAGCAAAGUCACAAACGGCGAACAAGUGACUCGACGACUCAUCGACCUUCCCACACAAGCAACAUACAGGAUUUUCAACCACCAUCCCGCGCCUUACCAAAUUAACCCUAGUUGCAAUCCUAUUUUCCAAAACUCUCCAGGCCAAGAAUACAGCAGAAGGCAAGGCUUUACACCUCCACAACCUACAGUAGGUCGGAGAGGACUCCCCAUCACUAACCCUCCUUACCUUGCUAUAAGCUGAGUUAACAGUAAAACUUUGAGACCCCUCAGCCUUCCAGAUCCAGCUAUCCACCCCUCCCACAUGUUAUAUCUAUUGUACCGACUAAAAGAAGGAAAAGUUUUUCAAACUCAGUUUAUGAAAAUCUUUGUUAGUUAGUAACAAAAUCUAUUGUUUGUUGGCACGGAUUUAAACAAUAUUAGCAAAAAAAAAGACAAAAGUUUUUAAAACACAAUUCAAUUCUCAUUUCUUUUAUUUUUGUGUUUUUCAAUAGUUAACAAAUAAGUAAAUAUAACAAAAAAGUUAUAAAAAUUUUACAUGUGAGAUUUACAUCACUUGAAAUCAUAAGAAUCUCUUCCUUAAGUGAGAAGUUGUUCUAUGUUGGUUAUAAUUGACUUUGAUAUCAUUGAUAGAUCUUACGAGUAAGGAUUUACUUUGCUGAUGAAAAAAAAAAAUGAGUAAGGAUUUACCAAAUAUACUCAAUAAUAUUGAGACUUGAGUCAAACUCACAAAGUGAUUAAAGAAAAUACGUUUUUAUCUUUUUUUUUUCCUUAUAUGUCACUCAAUUUUCUAAUUUCUACUCAAUGCGACACUUAAAUUUAUAACAAUUUCUUAGUAAGUGAAUUUAUAUACUGUGACAUAAUAACCCCAAAAAAAUUGACUAGAAUAAACUUUGAUAGUGAGUUAAUGUCUAACUCAAUGCUACAAAAUCAAUUUAUAAGGCAAUAAUUACACCCUUCAACAUGAAAUUAUAUACUAUGAGUUUAGACUGGUUAGGAGUAAAAUCAGUCGAUUUUAUGGAUCCUGAGUCUCAUUUUGAACAUUUCAAGAUUUUGGAUGCACCCACUUCAGUUAAUUUUAUUAUGAGCAAUGUCUGGAUUGCGUUGGUUAGCGAGAUAUGGAGACACAUGAAUAACUGUUUAUUUAAAGGUGGAGGGGUUGAUCAUGCUGAAGUUUUCUCAUUGCGGCACAGAUUAAGAUUUGGUCCUGGAUCUCAUCAAAGAUACAGUGCUAAUUUCUCAUUCUCUGAUUGGUGUCUAGAACCCUUGGUAUGUAUGCAUUCAAUUUAGUAUUUGUAUAAGGGUUGAUCCUUAUUAUUCUUUUUUAUUAUUGGUAGAGAUGAGAUAAACAGUAGAAGGUCUUUUUUGUUGAUAUGUAGAUGGAAAUAUAUUAUUUGAACAUCAUUAUGUUGUACGAGGGUUGAAUCAUCUCUGAAGUGCACUCAUUUAAUUUUAUUGUUAUUUGCUAAAAAAAAAAAAAACUAUGAGUUUAUACAACAUUGAGGUAAUAAGUACAAAUAAUUUAUCUAUAACACUCCAAAUAACUUUGAUAACAAAUUAAAAACUACAAAACUAUUUUAUUAAUGAGUCACAAAAAUUGCAUUCUCAUUGUAUUUGUAACAACCAAAACCUUUAAAAAUAUAAAAAUAUGCUAAAAUAAAAAAAAAGAUAUUUUUUUGCUAAUUAUAAAAAAAAUAUUUAUAUGUUAAUUCCAACAAUUUGUUUAUCAAGUACCACCAAUAAAACAAAAUUGUUGAACUUGUGAAUUCUUAAAUUAAGAGAAGUUGGUAUAUAAAGAUUCAUACACCUUUAAAUAUCCUAUUUUAUUUUAUUAAUUCUUUACUAAUAAAAAAAAAUACCACACCAAAACUUUUUUCAUCCAGAAAAAAAAUGUUUACUUAAAUAACAUUAAACAUGAGCUUUGUAAAAGUGCAGUUCACCUCAACUUCUAAAUGCUGUAUAAGUCUUAUGACAUAUUAAAAGAAUAGAAGGAAACAAAUAAUCAUCGUUCUCUUACAACGUUGGAAACGAGUAUUAAAAGAAAGAUAAAUCCGGAAAGAAGCGAGUGGGGUUGGGACCCAUGGAUGAAGGGGGUUUGUCAGAAAACACGUUCCAGGGUUUAGCUACCGUGGUUGGCUUUAAACAAAAUAAUACAGCAUGUAUUGGUAUUGUUGGAGUGUAGAAGAUACACAGAAAAUAUUUGAAACAGAAAAAAUAAAAAGAAAGAUAGAGAGAGUGGUGAAGGCCUGCAAGAAAGAAUAAAGAAUUGGAAGAGAGGUUAGUUGAGAGGAAUAGAAUAAGAUGGUUGAAAGUGUGGCGGGAAGAGACGUGGUUCAGGCCAUCAACCCUAAAAAGGCGUGGGGCACACCACACCACACCACGCCACGCCACACACUGCGUUUGGUUUGUCAGCUUGUCUUUUUACACAAACCAAGGGACACUGUACGAGGAGAGAGAAGGAAUUUUGGUACUCACCACUUGUUACUUCGAUUUAGGGUUUUCAGAUUAACUGUUGCUUAACAGUUGAGACGAGAAUGAGGAGGCAGAGUGGGAGGCCUUUAAUCCAACGGCGCCGCAUGUCUUUCCGUGGGACACUCCACGCAUGUUUUGCUCCAACCUAAUGUUCUGUCUUGCUCCAACGUGCGUGAACAUGUUCCAAUCAAUAAUCACUUUUAUUGCUAACGUAGUUAGUUACCCUAACAUGUUCCAAUCAAUACAGUGUGUGUGUGAUACUCCACUCCGCAACUACUACGGUGCAAUUAUACGGACACCACUUAGUACCAUACAAUAAAUAACUACUUUUUCUGAAACUCUAGUUUAUUAUAUCCCCUCAGAAUCUCGCAUCCUUCUACACUUAAAACUAAGAUUAAUUUAACUUUUAAAGUUAUAUUUUACAAACAAAACUGUGUCAGAGAUCUUUAAAUUCAACGAAGGUGAUUCACAAAAUGUGAGACAAUCUUGUCUAUGUAAAUAAUGAUUAUUGUGAGGUUAUGGAUGAUCAUUAGUCUUAAUAUCCAUUUUUUAAAUUAAUAAAAAAAUUCCAAUUAUUUUUUUAAAAAAAAGGUGUUAAUUAGGAAGAGGAUGUUAAAUAUGAAGAUUGACUUUAUAUACAAGAUUGUAAUCAAUUUAAGAAUAUAACUCAAAAUAAGACAUAAAAGGAGAAGGGGAGUAGAACACUCCUAUAUAUGAAGAAAAAAUAUGACUUAACAAUACAACACUUUAAGAUUAAAAACUACUAUUUUUCACUUAAUUGUAAGUUCUAGUAAGGAAACACCCUUCUUAGCUAAAACACAAAAUAAAUAGAACUCUGAAAAAUUAUUAUUUUUUGGUUUUAGAGAGUGAAUUGCAGCUCGGUGAACUAGUCCACAAGCCAAAAUGUUUUUUUGGAAGAGUUACGAUAAUUCGAAAGUAUAUGAAAACAAAUAUCACAAAAACAAACUAAAAUGUUACAUCUUUUAGUUUUUUAAGUGACGACAAAAUGUUUAAAAGACUCGAUGUAUUUCAUUUCAAUCAAUAAAGAAUCCAUAUACAGUAAAAUACAUAUAUAGCAUUCAAAUAUCUCCAGCACAUCCAAUGUAUUUGAUUUUAUGAGUAAAUUUAGUGUUUAGCUUUCAAAUCACCGCUAAUUAAUUCGUCAUUAGGAUAACUUUUGUGUGUUUUAACAGUUAAAUUUAAAUAUAUGAAAUUAGUAUUUUUAUUAAUUUUUUAACUUUUGUAAAUUCAAUUUUUUCAACGAGACACAACUUUUCUUUGAAAAUUUUUAAUUAAACAACUUAUUUUUUGAAGAGUGCUUUAAUAUGUAAAAGAAUGUUGAUAAAGAAAAUCUGUAAAAGAAUGAGAUUCGAUAAACAAUUUGUGCUUUUAUUUUGAAACUCUUAUUUUUAGCUUUAAUAUAAAAAGGUAGCUUUCAAGUAAAAGAUAAAGCUGGCCCAAAGACACCUGAAGUGGAUAAACAUGCAUUUAAAUAGGUUAAGUAUGAUUAAAUUUGAAUUUGCAGAAAUAUGAGGUUAAAGAAGUGAAGCAUAAGUGAAAGGGCAUAUAUUGAAGUGUGUAAUUGGGUUUUGAAUGGUGACAAGAAGUAUAUAGAAUAAUAAGAAGUGUUGAAUGAGAUAAGGGACCAUACACCAUGCAAUAGAGAAUGGAACAAACCAUAUAACUACAACAGUGGGGACGUUUAUUGAAGCAGCCAGGAAGGUGGCAAUGGCAAGAAGAGAGUACCAAAAAGCAAAUAAAGAUAAAAUACGAAGCCACACAGCACCACAUUGCUGUUAUUUAGUGUGUAACCAUCCUUCAAUUUUUAUUCUUUGUAGGAAAAUCCAUUUCUAUAUAUUACUAAAAAAUUUACGUUAAUUUAAAAUAAGUUCAAUUAUAUAUAUAUAGAGAGAGAGAGAAUAUUCACAUAGGUAAUUUUAUCAUAAUGUAUUAAAUAUAAACUUACUUUCUAGUAUAUCAAAGUCUUUUUUAACUGUUUGUUGUAAUUAUUAUGAUUUUUGUAUCCGAGUUUCUAUUAAAAUAUAAUUACGUUUAUCUUUUUAGAAAUGUAUGUUAUUGUACAACCUCGGUUACUUUUAAGAAAAAUAAAGAUUUUACAAAAUAAAAUAGUGCUUCAAUGUAUAAAUUAUUCAUUUUAAUAAUUUUUUAUAAACAUGUAAGUGAGUUACAAUCGAAUAUGAUUUAAAACUUUCUAUAAACUUGGUUAGUUUGACUUCUUAUAUAUUUCUUUUAUGGGUAAAUUACUUAUAUUAUGAUUUUUCUUAAAUUUUAUAUUAUUUUACGCGGUUAUUCUAUAAGCAUUGUUUGUUAGAUUUCUUCUUGUAUAUUUUCGUUCGGGCUAAAUUUCAUAUAUUAUACUUUUUUUUUCUUAAAUUUUAUAUUUUUAUCUUUCUAUGUUUCCUCAUGUUAGUUAUUGUUCAAAGGCUUUUAUUGGGUUGUUAGUUAUUGUUCAAAGGCUUUUAUGGGUUCUAGAGUAAAUAAAGAGUUUGGUUUUUUCCUUGAACUAGUACAAAAUAAUUUUCGAUCCCUUUAGGACCAUAAAUUUAAGGAUUUGAGAGCGUUAUUAUUCGGUGAAUAUAAAGGAGGUAAGAUGAUUAAUUAUUUUAUAAAAAAUUAGUUGUGAAUCUUUUAUUAAAUUAAGGUUUGAAAGUGUUAUUAUUCCGUGAAUAUAUUGGAGAUAAAAUGAUUAAUUAUGUUAUAGAAAGUUAAUUGUAAAUCUUUUGAUAGAAUCAGAGUUUGAGAACAUUAUAAUUAUUAUGUGAAUAUAGUGAAUUAAUCUUUUAGGUACCUUCGAGAUUGUAGCAUUUUUUUCCGAUUGUCCUUAUCACAUGUUGUUACCCGUUCAUCUCAAGUUGAAUCCAGAUAUCAUUUUCCACAUAAAUUUAUUCCGUGCAUAUACAUAGUCAUAUCUUCUCCUAACUCUAAAUAGACCCGGAACAACACAAUUAUGAAGUGUAAUUUGUGCAAUUUCAAAAAAGAUCAUUCCAAAAUGUACUUUUUUACAUUAUAAAAAUAUUUUUUGAAAUAUAAUACGCAUUAUUUUGUUCAGAAUAAUCAUUUUAAAAUUGGAGCAUAUUAUUUAUAUUUCAAAAUAGUAAUUUUUAAAUAUUUUUAUAUAUUUUGAAAUUAUCCCUUCAAAAUAGUUAUUUUGAAAUAUACUAUUUAUAUUCUAGAAUAAUUAUUUUGAAAUUCCUAUUUUAAAUGUAUUUUGAUUUCUGUAAAUAUAACAGAAUUGAUAUUUUGGAAAAUGUAAAAUAUCGAGAAUAAAAGUUUAUAGGGGUGACAAAGUGGAACGGGCCGUACGGACCAGCCCGCUGGCCCGUUGAGGCUCGUCCCACAUAACCUACAGCUUGCACAGGCCAAGUGCGGGAGGGUUAGCCGUAUAAUCUGCAUAACUUUAAAAUGUAGAAAUAUUUUUUUGCACAUCCAUAUUCUAUUCAUGUAGCCUCAUAUUUCAAAGUUUACCUAAUGCAUCUAAAUAAUAAAAAUUCAAAAUUUUUAUUUAUUUAUUUAAUUUUUAAAAAAUAUUUUUUAUUUUUUAUGCGAGCUAACCCGCAGACCCGUGGGUCAACCCUUAUGCGGGACGGGCUACACAAAUCAACUCACAAAUUCUAUGAGGAACGGGCCAUCCCAACCCGCUUUUUGUGGACCAGGUGCGGGACGGGUCGCCGCAUUUCCAAGUUUAGGUAAUAUAAGAAGUACAUUAUAAGAUGAGGGCUUCUUCUUCCUGCACCCCCACGUUUUUCUUCAUGCACCUCACAAUUUUAAAUAUUCCAAAAUUAACCUUGACUUAUAAUUUGAAAAGGGCACCGUGUUGGACUUUCAUUGUCACAGUUCAUCUUCAUCAUUGAACAUCAACUAUUGUGGAGGGUCUUUGUAAUUGUUUGGAACAAGGUGGAGAAGUACGCAACGUUGCUGAAGUGUUGUUUGGGUUGUAGAGGUAAAAAUUAAUUUUUUUUAAGAGCAUGGUGGUUAUGGAUAUUUCGGGGUUACUAGAUAUCGGGAUCCGAUAAUGUAUUUCAGAUUCAUGAAUCCGAAAUUGAUUAAAUUGUGUUUUCCGAAUGAGGGGGUGUUUCAGAAGUUAAAAUAUAAAAAAUUGUUGUUUUUUGGAUUGCUGAAUCCAGAAGCCUAAAUUGUAUUACGGAUUGGUGGAUCCAGAAGCCUAAAUUGCAUUAUGGAUUUUUGAAUCCAGAAUUGUUUUUUUGUGUUAUGGAUUUCUGAAUCUGGAAUUGUCUUUUUUAAUUAUGGAUUGUUGGAUCCGGAAUUUUACCGGAAGCAUAAAUCCGAGAUUUUACCGUAUUCUGUGAUGCUAAAUUCUACCAGAUUCUAUAAUCUGGAAUGUGAAAAAGCACUUACGAAAACAAAAAUCUAUACAAAAAAUGGAUGUCUAGAUUCGAAAACAAAUUUUUUUACUUACUUUUAUCAAGAGCACUCUAAAUCACCUAGAAGAAAUGUGUGAGAUUGAAAGGAGAAUAGUUUGGAGGUGCAAUGUGGAAGAUGAAUUAACACGCUAGUGGUAGGAAUUCACGUUGGGCAAGAACACCACUCACCGUCUUCUUUGAGUUUUUUUAGGUUAGGGAUAUUUUUGGAAUUUAAAAAACCAAUAAGGAUUAUUUAGUCUAUGCAGAAGAGUGUGGGGUGUAGGAAGAAAAACGUGCGGGUGCAGGAAGAAACUGCCAAGAUGAGAUGCAUGCAAAGAGUAAUUUUGGAUUUACAUUUUAAGACUCUUUCUUCCUGCACCUCCAUAUCUUCUUCUGGCACCUCCAUACACAACAUGAAAAUACAUUUUUAUCCUUCUUGUGCCACCCCCAUAGAAUAACUUUCGGAUUAUGUAAUCCGGAAAUGCAUUUGAAAAAAGACUUCCGGAUUACAUAAUCCGGAAGUUAAAAAAGACUUCCGGAUUAUGUAAUCCAGAAUAUUACAGAGGGGCAUUUUUGGAAAUAUGAAAAUCUAUGGAGGUGAGAGAAGAAGGUAUGGAGGUGCAGGAAGAAGCAGCCACAUUUUAAAAAUGUCCAGCCCAAGUAGAGUGUUUUAGAGGCCCUAAACCCAACUGUUACUUUUCAAGCGGCCCAGAAGAUAUCGUCGAGAAUACGACGGCGUAUGUUUCUCUGCUUAAAAUAGCUUUAUCCAGUCCCAAACUGUGGCAUUAAAAUUUGUUGUGAAAUGGCUUGUGCGCACUACCAUCUUUGCCCCGCGAGUUUGAUAUUCCGGUCCGACACUGGAGUUCGUCUGGGUCAGACUUUCACGCUAAAGAGUCCUCAACGUUUGUGGCUUGGAACUAAGCUUAGGGUUUCACCAUGCAGUCUCAAUCUCAGAAAUCACGUGUCUGUUUCCCGGCACCGGCCGCUCCCCGCCACCGUCUCCUUCAGCCUCCCCACCGCGUAAGUUCUUUUCCCAAUUCGGUAUUGAUUUGCCUUUCUUUGGGUUUUAAGUUUAAAUUGUGAUAUUCUGAAUGCAGAAAGGCAGAGCGUGCUUCUCCUGGCCAAGAAUUUCCUAAGUGAGUAGUUUCUCCCAAAUGUGUUUCACUCUACUUCAUUUCUCGUUCCAUUGUCCUUAUUUUCUUGGUAAUUUUCUUUGAUGAAAUCAAGAUGGUCUUCCAAGGCUAUAAAAUCGUUUGCAAUGUCUGAAUUGGAGGCGAGAAAACUUAAGUAUCCUACUACCGGCACUGAAGCCCUUCUCAUGGGGGUUCUCAUCGAGGGUAACUAACUCAUUUGCUGCAUUGCAAUUCUUGUAUAGCUUUUUGUGUUAGUUUUUCAUUUUUAGUGGAAUUGAUUUUAGAAGAAUUUAUUUUGGAAGAAUUAAGGUUAGGAAAAUUUGUUUGUGUUUUGGGAAGUGAUAUUUUAAAACUGAAUUGAGGAUAUCUUAUGGUAUAAUAUCAAUUAGUUUGUUUGUACAACAUAGAUAGAGGAGCACGGGAUCUUACUCACAACAAUGGGGAUUCGGGAUACUCCUUGAUGUAAUAGAAAUAUUGGUUUCCUGUUAAGUUUUUAUGCAAAAUACUAUGGUUCCAUGGGACAUCUGUUGUCUCUAAUAUCAGAUGCCCAAUUAGCAUCAUAGUAUGCAUGGUGGUGACUAUAAGGACAUCGAGUGCAAGUUGGUUGCAUCAAAAGUCCAUGAUGGAUAGUGCCUUUUGAGUACUGAAGAAUUUGUUUGAGUGCCUUCCAAUGCUCAGCCAAUGGUUGAGCCAUAGAUUAGCACUGCUUGUUGACACUAUAGCUUAGUUUAGGUUUGUUGGCGGUGAUGUGCUGUAGUGCACCUACAGUGGAACAAUAAAGGACUUGAUCUUCCCUAUAGUCAGCACUGUGUUUGGAUGGUUUGAUGCCUCCUAGUCUGUUGGAAUCUUACAUUUUUUCUUGUGCAGUAAGUCCCUAAUAUAGUUUCCCUGAGAAAGUGGAAGAGAGUCAUUGUUUAAGCGCUUGACCUCAAAACCAAGGAAAUGAUCCAAGUCACCCAAUUGGUUAGGGACAGAGGUGGAGUUAAGCCUGGUAGUCAUAGGCUGCUGUAGAAGUGUUAGAUGUCCUAGUUAUGAUAAGCUCUUUAUAGAUUAAAAUAUAAACCCUGCUGUUGUAGAUUUAAGUAUUGUAAGAGAAGGAUCACGCAUGCUAGAUACCUACAUACAUUGCAUGCAUGGAUAUGAUUAUGCUAUUGAGUACAUGUACAUGCAGUGUUUUAAAACUCAUUUGAUUCUCGUGUCCGACAGAUUCAAUAGGAAACUAAACUUUAAUCACUUUGGUCAUUUAAUUAAAUCUGAACGAAGUGCAUUUAAACUAGUUAAAACCGCAAAAGUCAGUUCUGAACUGAUCACAACUGUUUAACUCGAUCACCUAGUUUAUCUGAUUUCCAAGUAUGAUUACUUUCUGGUUAUGCCAUGACUCUACACCUACGACUGCCUCCUGCAUCACGUUCUGCAGCACACUGCAACACGUGGUGCAGUACAUGCCGCACUCACCAGCUUCACUUUUUGAGGCACAUUGUCUAACCUCAUACACUCACGAGCACAUGAAUUUCAAACAUGAAAAUUUUAAUUGUUCAAGUUGCCUAGCAUCACUCACUAUCACAUGCAUGGUAAUUGAAUCAAAUUGGAAAGUAACCGACCGAAAUUAGGAUUGGCCAAGGUGGGUAUGGAACCAAAGACAUGAAAAGGAUGUACAAAUUGCUUUAUCACUAAAUUAAUGUUAAUUGAUUUUCACUUGUAUGAUAAAUUAUAUAUACUAUCUAUAAUAAUAUAAGCAUUUAGAAAAUUAAUAGUUAUCAUGUAGUUUGUUUAAUUAGUGAUUCACUUGUUCCAUCACUGACCCACCAACUUUGUGCUAUGACUGAGACGUUUUAUAACAUUUGAUAUAAGUAUGGGUAUAGGGUACAAGAUGUUUCACUGAUAAAAAAUUAUAAAAAAUGUUAAUGUAUAAAAAUUACAAUUGUAUAUAAACUUGACUAAAUUGUUUGACUGAUAAAAACAACACAAAUAAGCAUAAAUUUUACCAUAAAAGGAGAUUAAAUUAUUUAAAAUGAUACAAAAAAUCGUAUUAAAAUCCUAGAGUUUUAAAAUGUUCAGCAAUCAAUUAUAACACAUUAGUAUGGUUGUGAUAUAAUGUUCUUGUCCAUAGAAAGUGAAAACCCUAUUUGGUUUUCAGAUUUACCAUUUCUUCAUGCAAUCACAACCCAAAUAUGACUUGGGUGCUGUUGUAUUUUUUUUUAAGAGAAAGGCCAACCAAGUUCUCUUACUGAUGCUGAACUCACGAGUUUAUUUGAGUUCAGGCGAAUUUACUCCUGAUCUGUAACUCAGUUUACUGGAAUAUGAGCUUGCUUGUGAAUCAACUAGGCACAUUGUUGUGGGAAUGUAAAUUCAUGCGAUCAGGAGUUUGAUAACCAUGGUGAAAAGAAUGACUUCUAAAUUUAGUUCAUCAAGAAGCCUUCAAGAAAUUCAGUCCUUUAACAUUAAAUUCAUCUUCAAAUAGUCUCAACGACUGAUUUGGAAUGAGUUAUACUCAGUACUCGGAUUGACUGAUCUGUAACUCAGUUAUUGCUUCCACCUCUUGAACCAACUUCUUUUUUUUCUACCACCACUAGUAGUGUUUGAAGACUUAUUUUGGACAGCAAUUUGAGAACAACAGAGAACCAUCCAAGCACCAGCAUGCAGAGAACAACCCUAGAACAUCCCCAACAAGCACCAACACCCAAGCACCCCUCAGCUAGACAAGAAUCCAACACACACCCAUGUAGCUCCCAGCCAAGCAAGAAACCAUCAACUAAGAACCCAACACGAAGGCCACUCAGCCACGUGAGAAAUGUCCUACAAAACAGAGUGUACAGUAAAACACAACACUGGUGAUGAUGAUGAUGAUGAUGAUUGGACUAAGAGGAUGCAUUUUAAAUUGCUUAUUCUCUCUUAAAGGGGAUUACUGAGUUUGGUUUUUGCAGAAGGGAAACCCCACACAGCUUGGGAUUUAGUGUUUCCAAAACUGAGUCAGUGAAAACUUGACUUGGAAAGGCCAAAAGGACUUUGUUUUGGCACUAUUAGAACUAGAUCAACAUAAAAAUAGCUGAAAAAAAAAUACGCAGGGCUCGUAAAGUAUUGGCAGUCCGUGCAGUUCAAGAGGAAAAUAGCAAUAUACACCCUUUGCGAUCCAGGGUCCAAGUUUGCUCAUUGACCUGUGUGAAAUCAAAGGAUCAUGAGUUUGCGAGGUUACAUGUGAUUUUUAGAACAUUAAUAUCAACUAUAGGACAAUUUUUUUUCUCAAGAACCCAUUUUGAUGAUGUGACAUGCGUAUAUGUUGUAUUCCAAGAUUAGUGAGAUAUUGUGUGAAGGGCCCAAACUCACCUCACAUUUAGUUUGAAGGGCUUUGAUUUUUGUAUUUAAAUAAAGUUUACUAGAGCCUUAAAUGUUUGAAGAUGAAUAAUGAUUCAGAUUAUUUUUGAUAAAAUAUGUUCAUGUAUAUUUGUUAUAUGCAUCUAGGAAAGAAUUUUUUUUUUUUUUUUUUUUUUUUGAUCAGCAGGAAAGAAAUGUAAUUAGAGUAUCCUAAAGAGCAGUUUAUUAGCACUCCUUAGACAACAACUACAACUCACUGGGUCCAUCAAACUUUCAACUCACUUUGGUAGUUUGACUAGAACUCGCAUAUGGAGAUGAUUACCUCUCCUUACAAACAAUUCAAGGCAAGAAAAGCUUCGUUAUUCCAUUGGGACAAAUGGAUAUUUUCACGCAACAUAACUUGUACAUUUUUUAGUUGUUUCAAUGUGAAGAUUGUUAAAUUUUCUACAUUUUAUUCAGAACGAUGCAGCCUUUUAAACAGGAAAAUUACAAACUUGAAAAACUCCUAAUAGAUAGGACCAAUAUCUCCAACACAUGAUAAUAACAGACCACUAAAUCUGUUGACUAAAACAGAAAAGUAAUAGAUAGCAACAGCAUAAACUGCAACCUGUAUUGCAUCAAACUACUAAACUCUAGGUCACUAACAACUGACUCAAUCUUUUGAAUUCAAAACUAGAUAUAUUUUGCAAACAAAAAUACGCGCCUUUUAUUAUGUUUGGGAUGCUUUUAAUUAAUUAUUUCAUUUGGUGUGUUCCGUGUGUUAGUGCAUUUCUUCAAAGAUAUGAAUAUACAGGUUUAAGCAUUAUUCCUAACCUAUCUUUGGGCUUUAGGUACUAAUUUAGCUGCCAAGUUUUUGCGAGCCAAUGGAAUUACACUUCUCAAGGUUCAAGAUGAAACAAUGAAGUUACUUGGAAAAGGUGAUUUGUUUUUCUUCAGCCCGGAGCAUCCUCCACUGACUGAUGAAGCUCAGAGAGCUCUUGAUUGGGCUGUUGAUCGAAAAACAAAAUCUGGUUGGUUAUUUUCAUUUUUCUCAUUUACUAUUGUUUAUCACCAAUUGCAGAGGAGAGUGGAGAACUGGUUUCAAUGCUUAUAGUACUUUGUGCAUUCAUGCUUUUGCUAGUGGUUUAAACUCUCCCUGAUUGUUUUUUUUUACUCUCUUCUCUCCCUCUAAACUAUUUUUAAAUAACAUGAAAACACAAAGUAUUACAGAAUUUUGUUGUAUAAUGAUGUGUCAUUGGGGUUCAUCUUCUACUAAGCAAUGGGCCACAUUUAGUUACUAUACAUGGAAUGAUGGAACACAGUUUGUACUUUGUGGGCACUAAAACACUAUAUUUGAGCUUAUGACAAAAAGACAUUAUUUUGUAAUGAAUUCUAAUGGAAAAUUUCUAAACAAAUAUAAUAAUAACAUGUAUGGAAUUUACAUAUUUAGCUGUAAUCCUGCCAAAUUAAAUAAAUAUGUUUGAAGUUGAGGAUGCCAGGUACUAUUUUGUCUAAAACCCUGGUUCUUAUUGCCUAUGGGUCUACUUAUUUCUUGUUGCUUAACAUUUGGUUUACAAGAUUUUGUGUUAUUUGGGUGUGCUAAUUACGUCUUGUUAUUUGGUCCUGAAGCUUUUCUUCCCGCAAAAAUAAUUGUUAAACCUACAUUCAGGUUUGAUGAUGAUUAGUUGUUGAUGACAUUCUUUCAUAUUUUAGCAAUAAAAAAAUACUCAAUUCUGCUUUAUGGUGAUGUACAAUAAAAAUUAAACUAGAAUUCCAAAAUAAAGAAGCUCUGAGGCAAUUAGGAAAUGCUAUUGUAAGUAUAGGGUUGUCUGAUAGAGUUUGAAGCAUUUUUGUUGAAGAGUUGAUGACAUGUUGGUUCUAUAGCCAAACAGAAGAGCCAUUGUCAUUUCCGAAGACAUUUCUUUGUCAUUAUAUUUCCUGCUACUGAAUAGAUAAUCUUUGAUUCUGAGAAUGUUUUUGUUAUGACCCUUUGUGAUUUCCCAUAUUUAAUUAUUAUUUGAUAAAGAUUUAUUGGUAGGAAUGUCGCAAUUGGUUUUGUUUCGUGGGACAAACUUGUUCUCAAUAUUUAGCCCCUUUUAAAUUAUACAUAAUCCCAUAAAUUCCUGGCGUUAUAUUUCAUUCAUUCACUUUGUGCAUCAUCAUUACUUUAUGUUUUUCAAAGGGUGAUUCCUAUCAAAUGUUCAACGCUCCAGGCAAAGAAAUUAAUCCUUUUACGUGACUUGCAGAUGAUGGCGGGGAAAUGACCACAGCGCACGUACUUCUUGGUAUCUGGUCCGAAGUGGAUUCUCCUGGAUACAAGAUUCUCUCCACCCUUGGCUUUAAUGAUGAAAAAGCUGAAGAGCUUGAGUCCUUAAUUUCUAACCCUGGAUGUACGGAUGAUUGAUGAAUGUGUACGGACUAGAGUUUUGCUUUAGUUUUAUACUGGUCAUUGAUGCCAUUAUUUGUACAAUCGAUAUAUGAACAGGUUGUUCGGUUGUGCCUACUGAUUUGGAAUGCAUAAAACUUACUAUUUUCAAAUGCCAAGUGUACUUCCUCUCUAAAGCAGAACAAAGAAAGAGAAAGAAAGAAAUAAACACGCAAGCAAAAGUAAAGCAGGAGAAAGGGACAUAAAAUGACGAUAAAUCAUACAGGUUGCUUAAAGUGAUUUUCACGAAAGUCCUUGAGCACUGAAUCACAAAGAAUGGGGAUGACACGAAAAGCAAUUGAGAUGUCUUUUUCGUUUUGGCCUGGUGUUUGGAGAUACGUAUGGACAUGGUUAGAUGAAGAUGAUAAUAAUUUCUAAUUACUUUUAUACACUUAUUCUUUUUCACGGACGUCUAUUUGUUUUUCUGCGUCAUAUUUGAGGAGUUCCUUAACCUGCUCUUUGCUUGAUAGUGUUUGUGCCUUGGCAGCUUCUUCCGCCCAGUUUAUCCGUGCAAUAAAUACCAAUAACAACGUCAAGCAGGUAACUAUACCAGUAAGAAGUCCAAUGAAGAGUCCAACUAGCCCAAGACGGAGUUUGAAGGCAAAAACAAUGGCAAGUGGAAGGGCCAGGAAAUAAAAUCCACCUAGAUUCGCAUAAGUGCCCAACCAAGGUCGUGCUGUUCCUCGAACUAUGCCUCCACAAACUGCCAACGGAAAAUUAAACACUUCCACCAGAGCCAUCAGCAGCAUUGUCUUUUUUACUCCCUUUAUAAUUCCCCUAUCAUGGCUAAACAGUGGCCCCCAAAUUCCCCUGGCACCCACCAUCACCAAACUGCCUAUGCAACCAGAGAUGAAGCCCAAUGCCAGAGACACAUACGCUGAUCGGUAAGCAAUUCCAGCUUGGUUAGCACCAAGCUCAUUUGAGACACGGGUGGAAACACAUGUGGCUAGUGACAGCAUCACUGAGAAAAGCAAAUAGUCGAAGUUUAGCACAAUGGCCAAAACUCCCACUUCUUGCUUAGCAUUUGUGAGGUGGCCAGUAAGCAAAACUAGGAUCUCAUAGCACCACCACUCAAGGCAUGUAUUGAGGCAGCAUGAUCCACAAAGCUUGACCAGCCUAAUCCAAUCCUCAAUGCUCUGAUCCCACCACCCUCCUUCCUUCCACAUGCUUCCCUUUUUGUUCUCAAUAAUUAAAACAUAAAUGGCUAGCAGAACCACAACAAUAAGGUCAGUAACCCAAACCGCCAUGGAGACUCCUCUGAGGCCCAUGGUCUUUGAAAGCACUAUGUUAACGGGUAUGUGGAAAGCUAGUGCCACAACCGAACUAAACAUGGUGGGAAGAGUUAUGCUCUGAGAGCUCAAGUAGGCUUUUAAGGGACAGAAGAGCGAGGCAACAAACAAGUCGGGUAUGAGAGAGGAAAGAUAGGUCCUGGCCACAAUGGAGAUGUCUUGCUGUUGCCCAAAACAAAUCAAAAUUUUGUCAACAUUAAGCCACAAGAAAGUGAUGGGAAGUGAUACCAACAACAGCAAUAAGAUUGUCAUGAAAAGGGUCUUGUGAAGGAGCCUGAAGUUUUUGGCACCAUGAGCCUGGCCACAUAUGGGUUCCAUGGCACCGCAUAGACCAUUGAGAAGAGAGAAUCCAGUCACAUUAGCAAAGGUGAAGCCGAGAGCUCCACCUGCCAAACUGAGCUCCCCGAGACGGCCUAAAAAAGCUGUUGUGAUGGCUGUCUUGGCAAACCAAGCCAAAUUCAUGGCCACCAUUGGGAGGGCUAUACCUCGUUGAACUCUUAGCUCUGAGAUCACCAUCUUCAAUGAAUUGGCUUCAUAUUUUUGGGCGUGUAGUGGAGGAGGAGGUGAGAAGGGUUGGUUGGUUUCAUCGUUUAAGCUUAGGUUGUCUCCUAGUUUGCAUGUUGCUGACAUUGUUGCUGUGCUCAGUUCUGUGUCUGGUUUGUUUCCCUCUGUACCUCGGGAUUCGUUGAAUGCAGGAGUUUGUUAUUAGUGACGGAGUUGUAGUUUUUUAAGGCGGAAUAGAGGGCUGGUAUUAGGCUUUUUCUCAAGUGCCAAUAAAGGAAGCGGUUGAUUAAACAUUUAUAGUGCGUGAUGAACCAUGAUUCCUAAGACCAUACAACGCACUUCAGUUACUACCUUUUCAUGCUCUUCUCCCCACUUUCCCUACUUUAAGUCAUUUCUAAUAUCUCUGGGCUCUGCUGUUUUUAUUUAUUUAUAUUAAAACACUACCAUAAAUGAUAAUAUUACUGUAAUCAUAUGAACUGUAACACAAACAAUAACUAAAUUUAUUUUAUUGCUAAAUUGUAUGAUAAAGUCUUUCAAAAAUGUAGAAUUUUUAAAACUGAAUUAGAAUUUAGAAGAGAUUUCUUUUUUACCCCAAUCCAAACGGAUAAAUUCUAAAGUGCAAAAAUAAAAAUCCUUUCACCGGCUUAUGCUUAUGCCACUGAUUUGCAGAUAACAGAACCUUCCCUAUAUACUGUCAACAACUGUUCUUUUCAACCAAAAAAGAAAAUAUAUUCUUUCUUUAAUAAAAUCUGUGGUAAUAUUCCUAGGUUCAUCUUCGCACACUCACAUUCAAAAUACUUAUAUUAUUUAUAUAAUAUAUUAUUAUCACAUUUUCUUAUAAUAUGUCUUUUUAAUUUCAAUUACAUCAAUUGUUUUUAUUUGAAAUAUGUUUGGUGAGUUUGUUUAAGUUUAAAAAUAAAAUGUUUCAAAAAAAUUAAUUUCAAACAAUCUGACUCGAUAUCUUUUCCGAUCUCUCCCCGUUAAUAAAAGCUUUUAUAAACAUAAUGUACAUAUUUCUCUUGAAAUAAUCCAUGAUUUAAUGUUAUUUAAAUUGAAAACACUUUAUUGUUAUUAGAAAAAGGUUAUAUCAAGAAUUGUUUUUUAUUUAUAAAAUUGUAAGAACUACUUACAUUGCAUUUAAAGAAAACGUGCAAAAAUUUAAAGCUAUAAAUUAACUAAUAAUGAAUGAACUUAAAUCAUUGAAGUUUGGGCAUGUUCUUUUCAUUCAUUUUUCUGGGUGUCAGAGUUAAUUUUUUACAAAUUUGUUAAUAAUUUUAAAAAUUAACUUAUCUAGAUAAAACAAAAUCUUAAGAAAUUACAAUAAGGGACAUUUUUAGAUGCAAUAAUAGAACUAAAUUUUUAAAAUAUAUUUUCAUAAAUUUCAAUUAUUAUCACACAUACACCGUUGAUAUACAAUUUUUUUUUAAAAGGCAGAAAUCUUAAAAUUUCCAGCUACACCAAAAACCAUAAACAAAACCUAACAACCUCUACCUGUCUCACAAACAUUGGGAGAAAUGUAUAGCACUACAAGAAAAUCAUGAAAUAAAAACCAAUUUUAGAGAUAAAAAAUAAUUAGUUGUUAUAGUAACUAAAUUAGAAACUAUUUUAGAGACUAAAAAAAAUUUUGGUUUCUAAAUUAGUUUCUAUUAUUGUUAAAUGGUUUCCAAAUUUAUAUCUAAUUAGCAAUCAAGGUUUUUGUUACCAAAUUUAGAAUCUAAAUAAUUGGUAGUUAAAACUUUGGUAACUAACUAGAUACUAAUUUAAAAACUAUUUAAUAAUAAAAACUAAUUUAGAAAUAAAUUUAUUUAGUUUUUAAAAUAAUCUCUAAUUUAGUCACUAUAACAACUAAUUAUUUUUUGUGUUUAAAAUUAGUUUUUAUUUCAUGAUUUUUUUUAAGUAUAGGUCAUUGAUUGAUAGAUAAAUUUAGAAAAACCUUGAAGAAUAAGGUCUCUUCAUUUAAAACAAAGUUCUAACCCUUUGAACUCCCGUUCUCUCUUGUCCUCAUUCUUUGACCCUUUUAAAUAUUCUCUUGUAUUCAUAGGACUCUCCCUCUUUGUUUUGUACAAUAAAAGAGAGAGGGACAGAGGGAUAAAGAUAAAGGAGCUGUUCGACGGUCAAAACUGCAAAAAAACAUAGACUUCAGCAAACUAACCGCAAGAUCUAAUAAUCUAACACUGGUGUAUGAUACAAGAAUAAAUUUAACAUCAAAUAAAGAGUUAAAAAUUCAAAAAGUGUCGUAAAAAUACAUUAGAGAACCAAACGAAAACUUAAAGGACUUAAAAAUGCUAGCUUUUAUGUUAAAGUAACUUGGUAAUAAUUUUAUUCUGAACAGAUACUUUGAUGUUAUUUAUAAUUAUUAAUAUUGAAUUAAAAUACGUGGGACUUUAAGUCCAUUCUAAAUGUCAGGAGGCAUCUAGAAUUUGGAAUGCAGGAAUGGAAAUUGGCUUCUCUUGAUUGGGAAGAGAGGAGAAUGUGUUGGAUAAAUUAAAGAGUUUGAAAAAAUAAUAAAAAUAGGAAGGAGAGUCAUAUUAAGGGAGGGUUAAGUGUUUUAGAUGAUUCUUAUUAGUAUAAAUAUUAGAGGAUUGAGAAGAAAGAUAAAAAAAAAAUAUUAGUGAUAUUAUUAAAAAGGAACAUAUUAAUUUUAUAUGCCUUCAAGAGACAAAAGGUGAACAAGUGAGCAAAGAGAGAUGUUAUCAAAUGUGGGAUCAAAUGAAAUUGAUUGGGUUGAGAAUAUGGUUGUUAAUAAUGGUGGAGGAUCAUCACAAUGUGCAAAAAAAAAACUAUUUUGAAAUGAAAAGAUAUAGGAAUGGGAGUAAUUUUUCAAUUAUAGAAGGUGUGUGGAAAUUAGGGACACCAUUGAAUUAACAGUGGUCAAUGUCUAUUGUCUAGGCUCUUUAAAGAAAAAGAGAGUUGUUUGGGAAGAGUCAGUUGAGACAAGAAGAAACCAUCCAAUAAAAAUGUGGUGUGUUGUUGAAGAUUUUAAUUAUAUCAGAUUGCUAGGGAGAGAAGAGGUCAAAGUCCUAAUGUUAAUUAUAGAAAUGAAAUACAUAGUUUUAAUAAUUUUAUUGAAAAACCAGUUUGGUUGAUGUUCCUCUAGUUGGUAGAAAGUUCACGUGGUAUAAACCUAACGGGACAGUUAAAGCAGAAUAAAUAGAAUUUUAGUCUCUUCUGAAUGGUUAGACAAGUGGUCGGGAUGUAAAUAAUACGUGGUAGGUAGAUCGGUAUCAAAUCAUUGUGCUUUAAUACUUAAAGAUAUAAAUAUCGAUUGGGGUCCAAAACCAUUUAAAUAUCUUGAUGUGGCAAAAGAAUUUAAGAUUUAGGGAUCUCAUACGGGCAAAGUGAUAAAGUUAUGACAUCAGAAAAAAUUGUUUGUACGCUAUGAAGGAGAAGCUGAAGAGGCUAAAAUUCAACGUAAGAUGUUGGAACAAAACAGUUUAUGGAGAUAUUAAUCGGCAAAUGAGGGGGUUCUAAGUGUGGAAGGUAGAGAAGAAAGAAAGCAGCUCCUAGUAGAAUUAAAAUACAUGGGACUUUAUAAAAGUCCUUUCCAAAUAUGCGUUUUAGGGUUAAAUACACCGUAUUUAGUAAAGAAAAAACAAAAUGUUGGAUUUCAUGUUGGACUAAAGAUAAUAAUAUUUCAUUGAUUUUAUAAAGUUUAGUUAAAUUUAAAGUUCACUUCUUAACAUGAUAUAAAAGUUUAUCAUAACAAAAAUUUGUUAGUCUUAUUAUUCUAUCUACAAUCAGACUGCUAUCAAAUUAUUCACAAAUAUAUAGUCUCAACUCUUAUCUUAUAAGUAAGAUAGAUUUAAAAUACACUUGUUAAUACCACUUAAAUGAGUUGACUUUAUAGUGCAUACGUGAGCAUUUAUGGAAUUUGUGAAGCUCCUGUAUGCAAGUAUGCGACAAGUGCAGUCUUAGGUUGAUCGAUCCCAUCCCAUGCGAGAGAGGUAUGUCGGCGAAUAUAAUCUUAGAAAGUUAAGGAAUUAAUGAAGAAUAAAAACCGGUUUCAAUCGAGAAUGCAUACAUUGAUUCGGGGUGAUAAAUUCCGUCGGUUGAUACCCAGUUAGGUUGAAAGUAAUAUUCAUACAUCUUUAGCCAUUUCAAUGCAUGCAUGAGCCCGAAUCAACGAAAUGCUGCAAGAUUCUAGCUUUUUCAAAUCAAUUUGGGUACCUGGAUAAUUUAACAUAGAAAAGUACUGUAGUAGGUACUAGGAGGAUAUAGUUGGCCAAGGAAUCUUGGGAAUUUUUAACCAUGAAGUGCUACUUUAACAGAUAAAUAUCAUGAAUAGAAUUUGUGAUAUACCCGCGAGCAUAGAGGAAAAGAGAACCGAAAGGUGGAAUCAGAUACUUGAGGGCUGAACCCUUUUUUUUUGUGUCAAAAAUCUUCUUCACGUAUGCUCCUUUCUCAUUCACGAUUCUGUAAAGUGGUUAGUGGGGUGAAGGGUUGGUCCAAACGCAGAACAAAAGCUUUCCAUUGCCACUAAUUAUUUUCGUUUUCAACCAUAAUUAUAAUUCACAACUUGAACCAUAUAUUUAUGUAAGUGUAUGCUGAGUAUCCUAAUCCCAAAAGCUAUAACAUUUGGACACAUUUCGCUAGCAACCUCCAAAAUAUUAAAGAUUCGAAUACUCCACAUAGCAAACACGUUCUACCGAAAUUAGAGGAGUUCAGGCAAAUCCAAAGAAAGAGUAGAAUUAAACAUGUUUUAUUGAUAUUGGUUCUAUAUAUAGUCUGAGUUGAAGAGAUAAUAUUUAAGAAAUCGGUCUUUUAUUACGAUUUUAUUGUUAAAAGAAGUUUCAAAGAAUUGAGAGAACAAGAAGUAGGAUUAUAAAUUCCUAAAUUAUGUGACUAUAUUUAAAUGUACUUAUAUUUAAAAACUAUUUUUAUUUUUAUUUUUGAUUCCCAAAUAUACGUUGAAUAAGUACCAAAAUGAAAGAAAAGGAGAAUACAUCUUAGAAAUUUAAAUGAAACUAAAAAUUUCGAAGGGUCAUUCAGAAGUUUCUAAAUUUUAAGGACAAAUAUGAGAAUGAUAACAAUAUGAACUUUGUUCAAUAUUGGUUGUCCCUUUUCAAAAUUUGUGCACGAGAGUUGAAAGGUGCAUAUAGGUGUAAAGAGUUUGCAAAUAAUUGUAUGCAAUAGAUUGUUAAAGAAAAGAAUAAAUAUGAACUGAAUUAGUUAGAAGAAGCCAAUCCGUGUUGAUAAUAUGUGAGAGAUGGUGAGAUAGUGAAGGAAGAAAAGAAGAAAUAAUUAUAAUGGUUAUGAUGAUAAGUGAGAUUGAGAAAAGGGAAAAAUAACAUGGGAAAUAUAAAACGCAUGUUUAGAAAGUUUAAAUUAUUGAUGGAAAAAGUUAUAAUCAGUUGUCUUGAAGUAGGUUUGAUUAAUAUAUAAAAUUGUUGGAGUGGAAAUUGAUGUGUACCUCUUUCCUUUGUCAUAAAGGAGAUAAGGGUAAUUUUGUGAGACAAUCCAUUAAUGGUGAUGGAGGAAGCUAAGAAGAAAAGAUGGGACAUGGCAUGCAAAGCAACUCGAUUCCCACUAUUAUUUUGUUUCAAUCAUUAAGAUAUUGCUACCAUUUUAUCAUAUCUUUCUUCUUAUAGGAUUCUUAAUUUGUUAAUCAUUGCACCAUGGACGUCUCUUUCCCCAAAACAUUUUUGGUUUCAUAACAUGGGGUCCUUCUAUACUCUCCUACUCCUACAUCUAACAUGAAACAAGUUUCAAUGGGCCAAGAAAUCUAGCUAUAGCCACCACUCAAAUUUCAAUACAAACACAUUUACUCCUACCAAGCCAAAACAAGCACAAUUCUAAAUAUCUACAUCAAAGUGUUAGAUCAUAAAGGCCAGAUUGUGUGGCCAAAAAUUAAUAAUAUUAGUAGUUACCAAAGUCAAUUGUGGGAUGAAGUUUAUCCAAAUUAAAUCCUUCAUUAUUCAACCUAUUUGAAAUGAUGAUCUAUAUAUUAGUUUUUUAAACUAAGUUGGAUAUGCUAUUUAAUAAUGAUAGGAAUCUAGACACUAGGGUGCAACCAUUUUUUUUUAAACAAUCAUAUAUGCUUAGAGAGUUAUCUUGGAUCUAUUCUUAUUAAAAAAUAAACUUAAAUCUAACUAGUUGAUAGGAGAUUUUCAACAUACAUAUCGAUAUUUGUUAAUCUGUGCGUAUGAAUAUAUAUCUAUAGAUGACAUAAUAAUAGUUCUAUAAGGAGUGAUCUGAAAAGUACAACUCAUUUGAAUAGGUUUUAAAUGACUCUAAUAAAAUAUUAGAAAAUUAACUUUAAGUUUAACUCAACUUUACAAAAUGAAUUCAUAAAAUAAGAUUUGGAGUUAAGAAUUGUUCCACUUAACUAGAAAUGAUUGAAUUUUCAUAUUACUAUUUUAAAUUAUAUACGUAGAGUAUUUUAGUUUUUGAAAAACUUGAAGAACCUGUGAGUAUUAUUUUACAAAAUAGUCUUUAUUUGAGUUCGUUUUAAACUAUUAAUAGGGAAAAAUUAAGUUAAUAAAUUACUAUAGUGAAUUACUUUUUCUGAAAUUAAAGUUAAUUGGGAAUUUCUAAAAUUUCAAAAUAUAAGACAUUUCACUAGUGAUAAAAUAAUUCAUUUAUCCAUUAUUUAUCAUGUCUGUCAAGAAAUAAAUUCAUCUAAGAAAAUAUAAAGAUUCAUCAAUUGUUUUUUAAAAUCCAAUAUUUCAUUUAAUAAAUAAAUAUAAAAAUAUCAGAAUCAGUCCAAUCAACCUUUUUCAGAAAUAAUUUUUUCUUAAAUGUCAUUUUCUAAGCUUUCAAAAAUAUAUUUUUACUUUGUUUUACAUAAUUUAUUUUAAAAAUAUUAAUUUAUUUUUAAAUAUUAUUUCUAUGAAUGAAUUAGACACCCCUCUAUGAACAAAAUAUUAUUAACAAAUAAAUUAGAUUGAACCUUUAGUAAAUGGAUCAGAUCUUUUAUUCAAUCUACAAUAAUUUCAAAAUAAAAUUUAUUCUAUGAAUUCCAUUUAUCAUCCAUAAAAAAAUCUUAAGGACUAAUUUUGGAGUUUAUAGUUUAUAAUGUAGAUAAUAUUUGUGAAGGUUUAGAAGAGAUAUUGUAAUGCCUGUUUUUAUAACCAUAUUCGUAAAAAUAAUAACCAUAUUUGUAGGAAGCAACAAUUUAAUAUGUAACCUCGUAUUAUUAAAGAAAAUCAUUAUUUUAUAUCUUAAUUUCAAAGAGGAAACUAUUCGAAGGUUGCUAACAUUUCUCCACUAACAAACUAAAGAAAAAAAAAACUUUGCAAUAUCGUUGCAUCAUUAAGAACUUAGGAUUUUCAACUUUAACAUAAAAAAGUAAAUCAUUUAAAUAAAAAUGUAAAUUAUAACUAUAAAAUUUAAGAGUGUAACAGUAAUAUUAAAUUAUAUUAAAUACAUGUAGUUAAUAAAAUACCCACAUUUUUUUAUGAAUAAAAGCCAAAGCUCAGACUAUAUGUCUAUUUUUAGAUAAACUAUUAAAAAAAUACCUAAAUUGUGUAAAAUUUGAUAUAGAUGAUUAUGGAGAAAUCGUCAAGUGAUUCAACUAAUGAAUUCGAUAGAAAAAGAUUGUUAACUGAUAUAAGUUUUAGAAAAAUAUUUAACAUUAUUUAUAUAAUUUUUUCUUUCUAAAUUAGUUAGUACUUGCAUAAUUAUUUUGAACAGUUAUGCGUUUUUAUUUUUUAAUUUUGACUGUGUUUUGUAUUUAGAGUUUUUAUUGGUCACAAUAAACAAAUUCUCAAUUACACACUAUUCAUAUGUUAUAAUUAUGAUGAUGUUACGAUAUUUAAAUAUUUAUAUAUGUAACUGAAUAAUAACAUCUUAUAAAUAUUUUAGGAAAGGCAUACAUUAAAGUAAGACAACGAAAUAUUAAUUCAAAUUUUAAUUUAAGAUUUAGUAACUUUAUAUAAUUUAUGAAAAUUAAGAUAUAACGGGCUGGGACAAUAACAUUAAGCUGAAUAAUUAUGGGCUGGAAAGUGGAAGCCUGCCUUAACAGUUCUAUACUGGCCCAUUAUAUUUUUAGCUUUUGGCAAUUAAAUUUAUUGUUCCCUAUUAGUGUUGAUGAAUUUUAAUGGCUAUUACUUUUCGGUAAAAUAUGUUCCUAAAUUUCUUGAACAAAAAUUAUUUACAAUGUUAUCCUCUUCCGAUCUUUUAUUUUAUUAGAUAAAAUGAAAAAAUGUUUUUUUUUAGUGAAUUAAAUGCUCUUACACAAAAAAAAUGCACUUAAAUAGCAGAGAUUAUUAAUUUAUCUAAAAUGAACAUUAGUACGUUUAUUAACAUAUACAAAAUAGAACUCAAUAUUUUUAAAAUCUGGACUGAAAUAAAUUGAAAUUACACAAAAUUGAUUUAUUAAUUCAACCAAAGCCGAUUAAUCUCAGAAAUGAAGUUAGUUUCCAUCAUCUAAAAGUUAGUUGCUUACCAAACAAAAAACAAUUAGAAUAAAAGAAGAGCUAAACAUAUACCUAAAGCCUUGAAGUGUUGAAGGUUGACUAAUUCAAAAGUCAAAAGUGAGAAUAAAUUAGUGGUUAGUUUGUUGUGGGUACCACUAUAAAUAGAGUUUGUGUGUAUACGUGCAAAUGUGUGCAUAUAACAGAAAGUGUAUUUUUUCUCCCAGUUUUGUAUUCUUCUGCUUCAGUUUGUUUAGCAUUCUUUUUCAUUUCUUUUCUCCAACAAACUGGUAUCAGAGCGUAGUUCAGAUUCAAGGGCGUUCUUGUGGGUUGAUCUACAAUGGGACACACCAGCGCAACCUUACAGUCGAACAUUCUUGUUCUUGAUGGCAAGAACUGGAAUCGAUGGAGUAUCCAGAUGAAAGCCAUUUUUGGCUUUCAAGAAAUCACGGAGAUUGUUGAAAAUGGCUACCCAGAACUUGCUACAGAUGCAACAGAAGCACAGAGGGUGGCACACAAGGAAAACAAAAAGAAAGACUGCAAAGCCAUGUGUCUUCUUCAUCAGAGUGUCGACGAUGCACACUUUGAGAAGAUUGCAGAAGCAAAGACGUCACAGAAGGCANNNNNNNNNNNNNNNNNNNNNNNNNNNNNNNNNNNNNNNNNNNNNNNNNNNNNNNNNNNNNNNNNNNNNNNNNNNNNNNNNNNNNNNNNNNNNNNNNNNNNNNNNNNNNNNNNNNNNNNNNNNNNNNNNNNNNNNNNNNNNNNNNNNNNNNNNNNNNNNNNNNNNNNNNNNNNNNNNNNNNNNNNNNNUGUUGAGAAGGUAUUACGGACCCUAACCCCUAACUUUGACCACAUUGUUGUGGCCAUUGAAGAAUCCAGGAAACUUGAAGAACUGAAGGUUGAAGAUCUUCAAGGUUCCCUCGAGGCACAUGAGUAGAGGCUCAUUGAAAGGUCCACUGAGAAACCUGUAGAACAGGUUCUGCAAGCCCAGACUUUGAGGAAAGGAGGCUACGAUGGCAGGGGUGGAUUUAGAAACCGAGGAAAGGGGAAAGAUUACAGAGGAAAGGGCAGAAGUUCUCAUCAAGAACAAGAGAAGUCUGAUCAAGAUCAAACAGAAACCUCCUCAAGGAGGGGAGGAUCCAAUUGGAAAGGAGGUAAGAAGAAAAUAGAUAGAAAGAGAAUCAAAUGUUUCAAUUGCAAUAAAAUUGGACAUUUUUCUUCUGAAUGUCAAGCUCCCCCAAGCCAGUUUGAUCAUCGCAGGAAACAGCAUGAUGAAGCUCAUAUGGCAAAAGAAGAUAUGAAAGAUAACAGGGAUGAAAGUCCUGUUCUGCUAAUGGCGACAACGGUGCAGGAAGAUUUGUGCUCGUUCGUUUCGGACCCGUCCGUUUUGUCUACGUCUGUAAUGUUGCAGACGACAAAUACUCAAGAAAUUUGCAGUGAGGAAGUUUGGUAUGCAGACUCUGGUUGUUCUAAUCACAUGACAGGCCAUAGAGAUUGGCUCAUAAACUUUGAUUCAAGUAAGAAAAGAAAAGUAAAGUUUGCUGAUGAUAGAAUGAUUCAAGCCGAAGGCAUUGGAGAUGUGAUAAUCAAGAGGAAGGAUGGUGGGAAUGCGUUGCUGUAUGAUGUGCUCUUUGUGCCUACCAUGAGUAGCAAUCUAAUCAGUUUGGGACAACUAUUGGAGAAAGGUUUCUCAAUAGCCAUGAAGCACGGAUUCUUGGAAGUCCUUGAUGCNNNNNNNNNNNNNNNNNNNNNNNNNNNNNNNNNNNNNNNNNNNNNNNNNNNNNNNNNNNNNNNNNNNNNNNNNNNNNNNNNNNNNNNNNNNNNNNNNNNNNNNNNNNNNNNNNNNNNNNNNNNNNNNNNNNNNNNNNNNNNNNNNNNNNNNNNNNNNNNNNNNNNNNNNNNNNNNNNNNNNNNNNNNNNNNNNNNNNNNNNNNNNNNNNNNNNNNNNNNNNNNNNNNNNNNNNNNNNNNNNNNNNNNNNNNNNNNNNNNNNNNNNNNNNNNNNNNNNNNNNNNNNNNNNNNNNNNNNNNNNNNNNNNNNNNNNNNNNNNNNNNNNNNNNNNNNNNNNNNNNNNNNNNNNNNNNNNNNNNNNNNNNNNNNNNNNNNNGAUGAUUUCAGCAAAAAAUUGUGGCUUUAUCUUAUUAAGGCUAAAAAUGAGGUGUUUCCCAUUUUCAAAUCCUUCAAGUGCUUAGUUGAGAAGCAGUCUGAAAAAUUCAUCAAAAUAUUGAGAACAGAUGGUGGUGGUGAAUUUACUUCCAGAGAAUUUGAUAGUUUUUGCAUGGAAAAUGGGAUUGUGCAUGAGAUAACAACACCUUAUACUCCUCAACAUAAUGGGGUGGCUGAGAGAAGAAACAGAAUCAUCCUAAACAUGGUUAGGAGUAUGCUGAAGAGUAAAAAUCUGUCACACGAAUUUUGGGGAGAAGCUGCAGCAACUGCAGUUUAUGUGUUGAAUCAUUGUCCUACAAAGAGGCUGGAAUUUAAGGUUCCAGAAGAGGUAUGGACAGGGAAGAAGCCUUCAAUCAGACACUUNNNNNNNNNNNNNNNNNNNNNNNNNNNNNNNNNNNNNNNNNNNNNNNNNNNNNNNNNNNNNNNNNNNNNNNNNNNNNNNNNNNNNNNNNNNNNNNNNNNNNNNNNNNNNNNNNNNNNNNNNNNNNNNNNNNNNNNNNNNNNNNNNNNNNNNNNNNNNNNNNNNNNNNNNNNNNNNNNNNNNNNNNNNNNNNNNNNNNNNNNNNNNNNNNNNNNNNNNNNNNNNNNNNNNNNNNNNNNNNNNNNNNNNNNNNNNNNNNNNNNNNNNNNNNNNNNNNNNNNNNNNNNNNNNNNNNNNNNNNNNNNNNNNNNAAGGAGUUUGUUACCGUCCAAUAGAGACGAACCCAGCACUGAGUCUCAAGGUGCAAAUUCACCUGAGAGAUGUAUUCAAACAAGACCCACCAGAUCCAGAACUCUACCAGCAAGACUCAGAGAUUGCGAAAUUACAUUCGAUGAUGCUGUCACUAACGAAGGAGAAUUACUCCAGCACAUUGCACUUCUUGCAAAUGUAGAACCUGUCAGUAUUGAUGAAGCUUUAAAAAGCAAAAUAUGGAAGGAGGCUAUGCAUGAAGAAUUGAAGUCGAUAAAGAAGAAUGAAACUUGGGAGUUGGUGAAACUUCCAGCUAAUAAGAUGCCUAUCGAUGUAAAAUGGGUAUUCAAAACUAAGUUGAAUCCAGAUGGAACUAUUGCCAAAUACAAGGCAAGACUAGUGGCAAGAGGAUUUAUGCAAACAGAAGGGAUUGAUUUCUCUUAAGUGUUUGCACCAGUCGCAAGAUUGGAAACUGUUAGACUGGUUGUUGCUAUUGCUACUUUGAAAAACUGAAAUAUGUGGCAGUUGGAUGUUAAAUCAGCAUUCCUAAAUGGACCUCUUGAAGAAGAAGNNNNNNNNNNNNNNNNNNNNNNNNNNNNNNNNNNNNNNNNNNNNNNNNNNNNNNNNNNNNNNNNNNNNNNNNNNNNNNNNNNNNNNNNNNNNNNNNNNNNNNNNNNNNNNNNNNNNNNNNNNNNNNNNNNNNNNNNNNNNNNNNNNNNNNNNNNNNNNNNNNNNNNNNNNNNNNNNNNNNNNNNNNNNNNNNNNNNNNNNNNNNNNNNNNNNNNNNNNNNNNNNNNNNNNNNNNNNNNNNNNNNNNNNNNNNNNNNNNNNNNNNNNNNNNNNNNNNNNNNNNNNNNNNNNNNNNNNNNNNNNNNNNNNNNNNNNNNNNNNNNNNNNNNNNNNNNNNNNNNNNNNNNNNNNNNNNNNNNNNNNNNNNNNNNNNNNNNNNNNNNNNNNNNNNNNNNNNNNNNNNNNNNNNNNNNNNNNNNNNNNNNNNNNNNNNNNNNNNNNNNNNNNNNNNNNNNNNNNNNNNNNNNNNNNNNNNNNNNNNNNNNNNNNNNNNNNNNNNNNNNNNNNNNNNNNNNNNNNNNNNNNNNNNNNNNNNNNNNNNNNNNNNNNNNNNNNNNNNNNNNNNNNNNNNNNNNNNNNNNNNNNNNNNNNNNNNNNNNNNNNNNNNNNNNNNNNNNNNNNNNNNNNNNNNNNNNNNNNNNNNNNNNNNNNNNNNNNNNNNNNNNNNNNNNNNNNNNNNNNNNNNNNNNNNNNNNNNNNNNNNNNNNNNNNNNNNNNNNNNNNNNNNNNNNNNNNNNNNNNNNNNNNNNNNNNNNNNNNNNNNNNNNNNNNNNNNNNNNNNNNNNNNNNNNNNNNNNNNNNNNNNNNNNNNNNNNNNNNNNNNNNNNNNNNNNNNNNNNNNNNNNNNNNNNNNNNNNNNNNNNNNNNNNNNNNNNNNNNNNNNNNNNNNNNNNNNNNNNNNNNNNNNNNNNNNAAGGUUGGCUUUAAUGGCUAUGUUGACUUGUUGAUAGAUAACAAAUCUGCUAUCAAUUUAGCUAAGAAUCCGGUUGCACAUGGAAGGAGCAAGCACAUAGAAACGAAGUAUCACUUUCUGAGAGAUCAAGUUGGAAAAGGGAAGAUCAGACUGAAGCAUUGCAAAACAGAUUUACAAAUUGCGGAUAUAAUGACUAAGUCAUUAAGAGCUGAUAGAUUCAGAGAACUUAGAAGACUACUGAAUGUUGUUUGUCUUUAAAUGUUUUUGUAGAUUUUGAAUUAGGGGAGAGUGUUGAAGGUUGACUAAUUCAAAAGUCAAAAGUGAGAAUAAAUUAGUGGUUAGUUUGUUGUGGGUACCACUAUAAAUAGAGUUUGUGUGUAUACGUGCAAAUGUGUGCAUAUAACAGAAAGUGUAUUUUUCUCCCAGUUUUGUAUUCUUCUGCUUCAGUUUGUUUAGCAUUCUUUUUCAUUUCUUUUCUCCAACAUGAAGAACAUAAAGAAACAUCACUCAAACAAUCAAAACACGAAUCAGUAGUUGAAUUAGUUGAGAUAAUACCUUUUUAAGCUUAUUAAACACGUGGGGUUGAUUUUAAUUCAAGUGAUGACUAAAACAGAUUCCAAUUAACAGCUGCCACUCACGUGCGUGCAUAAAUUUGUCGUUUCUGCUUAGAAUUGAUCGAGUAGCAUUCAAAUGUACCUAAUUAUUUUUUGCGUGCAUUAUCUUCUUUAUGUGUUAUGUGAUUUUGAUGCAAAAUAUUUUAAAAAUCAAUUGCACGUAAUUAAUGAUGGAACCAUAAACAUAAACAUAUUUAGAAAAAAAAAACUUCGAAAGUUGAUAAGAAGUCCAAAUUAGUUGUGGAAGAUGAACAUAAUAUUGUGAAAAAAUAAAGUAAGAUGAACCCUAAAAAUAGAGAACCAAAAAGAUUUAAAAAAAUAGAAGAAAGAAACUAUAAAAGAGAA
rnacentral:lncRNA from 1 species